rnacentral:lncRNA from 1 species
UUGACCAUAGUUAGUGAGAACACACCUCCGACUUAAGAUAGGAAUGCAUGUUUGUCAUCUAGACUAGUGAUGUUGAUGCGUUAUCAACUACUUCCACAUAAGAUUCCAUAAUAAACAUAAGUAAUCUGUGGACUCCUGGUUUAAACCAGAUUUGUUUAUAAGAUUUCUUAUUUGUUUAAUGCGAUUCAAACUUGGACUUGGUCCAGUGCUAAUGUAGUGCAUCAAGCAUGGUUUGGUGUGGCCCCAAACCUAGAACUAUAUCUUUGAUCCCAUUGGGCUAGUUCCCAGUAAAUUUGCUUCAACUUAAUCUGCAGGAUAGAUGUUUCACAUUAAGAAAAGUUGCAUCUGACCUAACUGGCAUCAGUAAAAUAAACCAAUAAAGCUUGGGCCUGAAUCCAGCCAAUGCACAUUCCACCAGAUUAAUUCAUUAGUUUGUCCUUAUAAAAGUGCAGCUUAGCCUCGGGAUUAAGGAUAAAUGCGGCAGAGCCUCCUCACCUAUCACUUCCUUUGUUGCUCUCACAUUAUUAGUUAUUGAAGUCAGAGGUUAUUGCCAUGGUGUUUGUAAUUGCUGCAGGGAAUAAUUAGCACUGCUGCUGCAGCACAGAAGAGCAUAGUGUUAUUGUUACCAUUUGAUCAAUCCCUUCUUUGUCUCCAUAUCCACUAAUACAUCCAUCUGUCCUGCCGCAUAACAAUAACAAGUCAUGUAUAAAGGCAUAUUGAUGUUCGACCUCCUAAAUUCCAUCAAAAAAGAUGUUGAGUCUCUCAAAAACUUCCAAUGGCCUGUUUCAUUUCUUAACAGUACUGUUGGUUCAUGGGUCUAAAUAAUAUGCUAGAUUACUUUUUUUUUGUUGUUUUUCAAAUCAGAUGGUGAAAGUAUUGCUGAAAUUUACGUCCAUUGACGUGGUUGACAUAUCAUGGCAUCACUUUUGGCAAUUCCAUCAAUCUAUACUUUUAGCAAUUCCAUCCUUUUCUUAUCUAAUCUAUACUACUGUUGAAAAAAAAAAUCCACGUCUCCUUCAAUCUUGCCACCAGAAUUAAGUUUCUUUCUUACACAUUUCUUCAGCCACUCUUACGUCUUUUAUCUCUUUAAAAACUCUAAGUUUUGUACAUCUCUCAAAUCUUUUUAUUCAUUUUUAAAUGUGUGUUUGCACAUGAUCUGUAUAUUAGUUUUAUUUUAGAAAGCACUGCAGCAAAACCCUUUAAAAAAUGAUGCAUCGAUAACUAUGAAAAGAAUGUUAUGAAGUGCAUCUUUGUUGGAUUUCGUCAAAGAGCAACUUGAAUUGAUUAUAAAACUGCGUUCCAUGAUUGAUAAGUUUCAUCACCUGGUAAUAGAGGAAUCCUAGUAUUCUUCUAGCUCUGCUUUCCUGUUAAGAUUAAUGAAUGAUUCUUUCUUGUUAACGAGGUUUAAGAUAACAUUGGUUAAGAUAUCAUCCAUUGCUAAUGGAAUUUCUAACAGUUCCAAAGGCCUUCUGAUAUAAUGCAUGUACACGCACAAAAAACAGCAGCAUAUAAUUGCCGAAUUCUUUUAUUUUUUUCAGUGGCAGGCAUAUAAUUUCCGAAUUUUAGCUGUGCAAAACCUCCAUUUACUUGGAACCAAGUAACUUAAGGAAUAUUUUUUUUGCUACUCUUUUCUUCUUAUGAUUGAUCUCUAGAAACUGAAUACUUCUCGAUUCUUCUUGUUUUCUACUCUUCCUUAAAAUUUGACUCAGUAAUUUAUCUCAAUUAAAUAAAUUUUCGGUGGCUAAGCCUCCCUUCAUCCGGAAAAAAGCCUGAAAUUUUGGACCACAGGAGGUUUAGAGAAUCGGACGCCCAUGAGUUUCAGGGAAACGAAUGCUUCCAUUUGUGAAGAAGUUCAGGGGCCAGAUAAGGCUCGCUAGCUUUUGAACGAUAGGUAUCAAAGUCUUCCUUCACAGAUUUCCUCGAAGAAGACAGCCGUAAAGGAUCACUAGUUCUAGUUGUAGAUGCUGUCAACAAAAAGGAAGCCAAUGUAGCUCUUUUCAUAUGUGUAAAAAUAGUACAAGCUGAGUUGCAAGUUUGAUACCACUUUUAUGGCUAGGAUUCUUUUUUCCUCCCUUUUUGAGACUAGUUUGUCCAAACUUUUGGCUUCUUUUGUCUUUACCAGGGUGGCUAGAUUAGUAGGCACUCUCUCAAACUAUGCAAAUAGAAGAUGAUAAAGAAGCGAUAUAGUAAAAGUUUACCUUGCUGUAUUCUAUUACUCAAGAGUGAUUAGAAUAUUAAUUCAAUAAAAGUGUGACUAGGGAGAAAAUUGAUUGAGCAAUAAAGGAAGUUAAAGCAUAAAUGAAGUAGUUUUUGCAAGCUAGCUUUUGUUGGAUCUUUUAUUUUAGCAGGGUUUGUAUUUGUAGAUUUUUUUGUUUAUGUAAAAGGUUUUGUAGAGAUUUUUCUUGGACAACAAACAAAAUUUUAUAUUGCUUAUCCCAAACAAAAUGAGGCUUACGAGGCUCAUAAUUAUAUCUUUGGCCUAUAUUGCUUGCUUGCAAGGAAGAGUGUGGUUUAAUUAGGUCCUUGUGCAGUAGAAGUAAAAUAUUUCUAUUGCACCAAUCAAGACCCUCUAUAGUGUGCGAGCCAUACUCGAUAGCGACUAUUAGAAAAUGGACGGCCAUCAAACAACACGCGCUGCAUAGAACAUGGUAACUACUCGUAAUUUGCCUUGUUUGAUAACCAUCCAUCUUCUAAUGGCAGNNNNNNNNNNNNNNNNNNNNNNNNNNNNNNNNNNNNNNNNNNNNNNNNNNNNNNNNNNNNNNNNNNNNNNNNNNNNNNNNNNNNNNNNNNNNNNNNNNNNNNNNNNNNNNNNNNNNNNNNNNNNNNNNNNNNNNNNNNNNNNNNNNNNNNNNNNNNNNNNNNNNNNNNNNNNNNNNNNNNNNNNNNNNNNNNNNNNNNNNNNNNNNNNNNNNNNNNNNNNNNNNNNNNNNNNNNNNNNNNNNNNNNNNNNNNNNNNNNNNNNNNNNNNNNNNNNNNNNNNNNNNNNNNNNNNNNNNNNNNNNNNNNNNNNNNNNNNNNNNNNNNNNNNNNNNNNNNNNNNNNNNNNNNNNNNNNNNNNNNNNNNNNNNNNNNNNNNNNNNNNNNNNNNNNNNNNNNNNNNNNNNNNNNNNNNNNNNNNNNNNNNNNNNNNNNNNNNNNNNNNNNNNNNNNNNNNNNNNNNNNNNNNNNNNNNNNNNNNNNNNNNNNNNNNNNNNNNNNNNNNNNNNNNNNNNNNNNNNNNNNNNNNNNNNNNNNNNNNNNNNNNNNNNNNNNNNNNNNNNNNNNNNNNNNNNNNNNNNNNNNNNNNNNNNNNNNNNNNNNNNNNNNNNNNNNNNNNNNNNNNNNNNNNNNNNNNNNNNNNNNNNNNNNNNNNNNNNNNNNNNNNNNNNNNNNNNNNNNNNNNNNNNNNNNNNNNNNNNNNNNNNNNNNNNNNNNNNNNNNNNNNNNNNNNNNNNNNNNNNNNNNNNNNNNNNNNNNNNNNNNNNNNNNNCUUUUUGCUCCAAUGAAUUUAAAGUAUAACAGGAAAUGAAUGAAGAUCGGUGCUGCAUGAUAGCUUUCUAACUUUUUCUCUCUUCCUUCAAGUUUAUGAGGAAUGGAUGAGUGGUGAAGGCUAUGUUUCUUUGAAUAUUUCACCAUCCUUCUUUUUCCUCUCGUUCAAGUUUUAAUUUCUAAUAAUUUCACUAUUUUCUCUCUUUACCAUUUAAAAAAGAAUCCUUUCAAGGGAAAAGGGAAACCUGAGUGACAUAUAUUUGGCAGUUCUUGUCGUUCUUCCUCUUAGCACUUCAAGUUCAUAAACCACCUUUCUCUCAUAGAAAUCAAAGCCAAAAAUUUGAGUACCAAGAAAGCAAAACUUACUAACAUAUAGGAAAGAAGCCACAGAAGGAGGAGGAGGAGGAGGACUAAUUGCAAAUAAACUCUCCGCUUCAUCUUUACUUUCAAAGUCUUCAAGAGAAAUAAAGAACCAUCCUCACUCUCCCAUCAACCUCUUCUCCUUCUUUACCGAAAGAAAAAACCUCCUCUCCUUCUCCAACCUAUCAAGCAAGCUGGUUAGCGCUCUCAUCACAUUAACCUGCCUCUGUAGCGCCCCGAUGUAGUCUGCCGUCUCCUCGAAGAGCCGGUCCGUCGCCAAGUCCUCCCCGCCAGGGACUAUCUUUUGAAGAGCUCUCACCCUCCUCGCUAUCUCCAUCACCUCAUCGUCUCCGGCCUCUUCUCCAACCAAGUCUUGGACCAGGUCUUCCUUCUGGCAGCCGCAUGCACGGUCUCCUUUCCUUCGGAGGAGGCGGUCUUCGAGGGCGCGACUCCAGUGGCGGCCACGGGAGGCCUCGGCAAGGCCCAUCUCGGCUGCCAUCUUGAUCCGCCUUCCCCUCUCGAGGAAGCUGGCAUUGGUGGUGGCGGAUGUUUUGACGAAGGAGAGGGUUUUGUCGUUGCCUUGGUUCUCCAUGGGUGGGGUUGGAUUGGUGUUUGUUUGGGUGUGGAAAGAGAAGAGAAAGAGAGAGAGAGCAGUGGGAUCGAGCAUAUAUGUUAGAGAAAGGAUGAAGGGGUGGAGGGAUACAUUCCUGCUGGUUUGGAAUUCUAGAAAGAAAUUAACAUUAAAAGAAAAGGAAUUCUAGAAAGAAAUGUCAAUGUGCCAGCUAGGAGGAGGGGCCCAAUGGGAGUUAUGCUUCACAAUCACAAUUGUUCUUUGUUUUUGUGAGUCAUGUCUUGGCUAAGCUGAUGCUUAGGCAUAAUAGCCAAUGCUUGAUUGCUUUUCUUUUUUAUUAAACAAUUUUACUAUUAUUAAUUUUAAAGACAAGGUCCGCCGAUAAUUUUGCAUUACACGAUAAUCCUCAUCAACCCUAGCAAACCUUCGUGACUCUAAUAAGAGCAGGUUAUAAUGCAAAGUUAGAUCUGCUUCAUGUAUUAUAUCAGCUAAUAGAUACAAAUUAGAAUCGAUAUAUGAAAACGAAGUACAAGGUAAUCUUGUGUCUCACUUUCGAACAAGAUUUUAACAUGAUGCGCGACAAAUUAAUCCAUGAUUUGUUGGGCAGAGAAGUUUGAUAUCAAAGGAAGAGAAAACUUUUAGGCUGCAAUUAUGCACAUGGGAGCAUGCUACAGGCUGCCUAGGUACACAUGUGGACUAUAUUCUCACAUGCACAUGCCUGUCUCCUUAGUAGCUGGCAACAGAUCAUUGCCUUUCUUUAUCAAUUAAUAUCCAUUGAUAUAGUUUAAGUCAGAAAGGACAAGUAAUGCUUAUGUGAGAUAAAAUUCUGCCAUUUGAACAUGAAUUUGUCAGAAGAUUGGAUGCAAGCGAUCACCAUCAAAUUGUAGGGUGUCGACCCAACAAUCUUAUAUAAUUAUAUUAUCUAAUAUUAUAAUUAUUAAUAUCUAUUUAUAUAAUAUCUACUCCCAAUGUUGAAGCUCCAUACAGCUCAUGAAACAAUGGGGGUCAUGUGAUUAUCUUGCAUACUUAACGCGAUAAUUUUCAUUAAAUAAUGGCUGACUUUUUUAUUAAAAAAAAAAACUCUUAGCACCUCAUCAUUAAGGAAGUCAUACUUUGCAUCUUGAUGCAAUUAUGUUAGGAUGCCAAUAUGUGCCCUAGGAUUGAAAAUUUAGGAAGUCAUACCUUACUCCAAGGACAAACUCUGUGUAUAUAAACAGCAUGCUUAUAAUCCUGUAAUUUUAGACCCAUGGCUUAGCAAUACUUUCCAUAAAGGUGCUUCAAGAAAAUUAAGAAUCAAUAACUAAACAUAAUAAUCUUAAAAACAAAAGGUUUAUUGCUAUGUUAUCUUACAAAAGACACAGAGAGAGAAAGAGAGUACAUAGUUAUGUGACAAAUAACUCAUAGUGGUCACUUUAUAAUUCCUAUAAAGUGAGGAACACAAGGAUUAAUAGCAUUACAUCCUACCAGCAUCAGGUACCAUCUUUUGCCCCACUUUCCGGGCUUCCAUCCAUCCCUCCAUGUGCCUGCCAUGACAUCCCCCCACAUGCUCCCAGUCCGACUGCAAAAUAGGAUAUAGUACGUACAACCCCCAUCUCACCCCAUGGGAAUAGUCCAAGAGAGCCCAAAUCUUUUUAGGCCAUUUCCAUCUACUUCUCUUGAACCCAAUGCCAAGCCGCUCUCUUCCGUACAUAAUCCCACAAAUAAACCUUAUACCAUUGUGACAAAAUAUAGGUUGUUAAUUGAAGUGAUAUUUUUUUGAAAAAAGAAAUAGAUCUUCAUAUAUUCAUUCUGAUUUCAGGCGGGCUACAGCUGAAAAAUAAUAAUGGCCAUGAGAACAACCAUCACUUCUGUGAAAACAAAAAAUAAAGACUGCUAUUUUUACUAUAACAAUGAUGGUAUAGGUUUAAUUUUUACAAACCCAACCGGACUUGGCCUGAUUCAGAGAUGAUGAUAUAUCUUAUAUAUAAUUUACAAUUUUACUCUUGCAUUUUUUGGGUACAUCGACAGCUCACACUAGUUAUACCUUGAGGAUCAAUCAUCAGUAAAAAGUUUCGAAGGCUGGAAGGGGAUUAAGUUUUCUAAACAGGAGUGCCUGCUUGAGAUCCAGAUCCUGUCUGGAUCCGUACCUAAUCCAACUCAAACCCAGACCCAAACAGCUGCCAAGUGCCAACCCAAUUCAGACCUGAUUUCCAUGCAUCCCUAGGAGCAUCCAGCAAGCUCCAAUCCAAGGCACCAGGGCCCAAUCCGAGCCCGACAAACCAAAAGCCAGGGCUGACGGAUGGGCUGGCGACGAAAGGGCACAUGCCCUCACAUGAUUUCUCCGCGGACUCCUCGUUUCGCCAGUACCCUCUUUCGUCUCUGGAAGCCCCCACUCCUCGCGUCCCGGCCCAGGCCCCGCGCCCGCUCGGCUCUUUCGGCCGACGAUCCUGUAGGCCAUGGAGGGCUCCAUGUGGCCGGGCCCAGUGUGGCCCCCAGGAUCCCGCUCUCUCUCUCUGGUCCGUGAAUUCCACAAUCCCAUUAGAAUUCUUUACGCGACUCAUCGCUUCUUUCUUCGUCCCUUCCUGUUCCCUGGAUCCAAGGUCUGUUCCUGGCUGAAUAUAUUAACAAAUGUUCUUGUUCGGAACGAGGGAUGGGUUGGAGUCAGAGACUUGUCUUGAUGAUAGGCAUUUGUCUACGUGCCACUUGUUUUUUUUUCUUUGUUUAAUUGGUGAUUAUUAUGUGAUGUUGGAGCUUUUGAUGACGUGGGGCUUCCACACAAAAAAUGGCUGGUGCCAUGUCCUUUCGACAUGCGCUCGAGUCCUUUCAUGCCUAUAAGUCCAUCUAUAUAUUCGUUAGACAGAUGGAUUAAGCUAUAAUAAUGGAGAGAGCUCAUUAAUAGGGCUGAAGGUUCGACGUCCUCUUCGUCUCGCAAUGAUGUGGUGUUUGGUCAAUAAGUAGGAGGCGUUGGAGUUUUAAUUUUUUUUAAAAAAAAAUUAAACUUUCCUUUCGAGGUGUUUCUGUAACAUUAUGUAUCUUCGGAACCAUCGCGUCUUUUCGGUCUUUAGAUAGAAUCUAUUCCUCCAAGAUUAAUCCUAAUACAAUCCAAUCUUUUUCUUACUGGUACUCUAUCUCUUACAUAUAGAAAGUUAUUUCAUUCUUCAACUUUUUGACUUCUAUCUUUUCUUCUUUUUUGGACAUUUGAAAAAAUCGAUCGGAUCAAGCUUCCACAGUGAUCGUGCUCGUUAGAAGAGGAUCGGGCUAAAUCGAAUUGUUGUACCUUACAGACGAGAUCGCUGCAAAUCCGUACGUAGGAGGCGAAUCACGUUCUUAAACAAUUAGAAAUGCUAUAUCAUUAUUCCUUUAUAAUACUUCUAUACAAUACUGAUAUAGCAUUUCUAACGGGAGGUAGGUGUUUUGUCAUUUAUUUUGAGGUCAAGAUGAUAAUGUGCCGUUGACAAUGAUCAGUAUGCUCGUCAUGAGCAUCGUUGAGAAAAAUUAUAUGCUCCGGUACUUCGAUAGAAUAAUUUCAUCGUUGGAUGCUAAACAUGUGAUACUGCGAUCCAUAAAGCUUUUGAUAGCAUGAUUCUGACUUGACUUAGUAAUGGAGUGUCGACCGUAAUGUUUCAGACAAGACACAAUUUACUGGAAAACAUUGUCCCUCCGCCACCGUCGCUCUGAAACCAUCCAUGUGUUGGUACGUUCUGGGAGUUGAAUGGUGGUAUCUUGGAGCAGGCAAUCAAAAGAUUUCAUUACUAGCUUCGUGCCAACAAACAAAUUUAAAACUGGUUGGAUUACUUGGAUGCAUCGAUAAAUAUUCCUCCUUCUGUCUGCUCUAAUCCCACUUGCAAUUUGGUCGGGCAGUCUUAUCCUCUGCAAAGCCAAAAUUUAUUUGUCUUCCACCGAAAGUAUUCUUCUCUAAACAAAGCCUUUUUUUUUGGGUACAAUUGAACAGAGCGUUUUAAACACAAACAUAAACGACUGCAGUAAGAAGCGGCUCCAGAAGAGCGGAUUUGGUUAAAUUCGGACAAUAUCUUUCACCAACGCCACUGCCCGUGCUUGAAUAACCCACUGAACUUUGUUGGUUCUUUUCGCUGUUAUUUCUAGUGCUACCUUUUCUCUAGUACUUUAAGGCAUCGCUUGAAAACUUGGAACUGAGGAGAAAGAAUGGAAUGGAAUGGAAGGAAAAGUUAAAAAUUUUGAUGUUUGGGAGUUUUUAGUGGAGAGAAAGAAAAAGAAAAGAAGGAAAUAAGAGGAAAAAUUUUAGGCUCCAAUUCUCUCAUUUCUUUUCUCCCAUAAGUAGAAGGAUUUAGAGAGAAAGAAAUUGAAACUUAAUAAAUUUUUUAUAAUACCUAUUUUACCUUUAAAUUGAAGAAGUACCAAAUUAAAAGGACAUAUAUAUCCUAGGGUAUCUUUUGUUUUAACCUUUCAUAUGUCAUCUCCAUCUCUAUAUACCCAUCUACUGCAUCUCUACGGAGCUCUAUCUCCACAGCUGCACUUUCAGCUGAUCUGGUCACUCAUGACACCCGAUCACUUGCACCUCUACUCAUAAGAAUGCCCCUUUUAUAAUAAGGGUAUUUUAGUAAAAGUGUUAAAAAUGUAUGCUUUUUUUUUCUCUCCAAACUUCCAAAUAAGAGGAAGGAAAGUGCUUUCUCUUCCCUCUUAAAACUUCCAAACAAGAGGAGAGGAAAGCCUAUUCUAUUCCUUUCUUUUCUUUUCCCUCAUUAAAGUUUUUCUUUCUUUUAUUUUCUUCCUAAAACUCCCAAACGAAGGGUAAGCUACAUGCAUUACAUCCACCCAGCAUCAUAUUUGGACUACAGUAGGUGCAAGCCAAUGACUGUUUCAACCCACGAACUCCCGAAACAUUCACAAGUUUGAGAGAGAAAUCUAGAUUUUAAGAUUCACUCCCCUGAUAAACUAUCCAUGUGAGUUUGUUUACAGAAACUCCUACAACUUAAUAACGUCUGUAUGGAUCAUGAAAUGGAUAGAAACACCUUCUAAAUUGUAAGUAGAAAAAUCUACAUGAGCACAGAAUAUUGUCUAAUACUAUUUAUUUUAUUUUAUUUUUAAAUGAAACUAUGAAUUGUGUUUGCUUUCUCAAGGUGCAGAACCAUGCAAUGUUAAAUUAUGGGUAAAUGUGUCAUGUCCAAGGCAGCGAUAUUUUUCGGAUCCGCAAGUUGAUUCAAUGAAAACUGGCAGGAAUUUUGCAAUGACAAAGGUGUCUAGGGAUCCAGAAAAUGGAAAGCUGACGAAACAUGAACAAUUCAUAGUAGCAGGCUUCCUGGCAUUUUCAAUUCAAUACUAUCAGAUCUUACUUUGUAUCACAAAAUACACAAUCAUCAACGAUCAACAGUUCAUUGAUCAAAAGGAUACUUGAAAAGAUGGAUACGUUUACCAUGGAGUACUUCUUCCCUGACGUGACAGCUAUCAACCUUGUAACACUUUCACAUCACUCACCGUUUGCUCAAUAAGUUCCACCGGAUGUGCCAAAGGUAUGUUUCCUCGACAAGUCUCACCGGACAUGCCAAAAAUAUUUGUUCUCUCAACAACUUCCACUAGGUAUAACAAAAAACUCAUUUGCCUCCUCUAUUUUAGAUCGUUGGGAGAGAGACGAAUGUGCCAGAAAGUUUGUUGAGGUUUUUUUCUCUCACCAAAAUGAUAGGAAGAAGGGUGACAAGUCUCGUAGGUUGAGUAGAUACACGGGCAUACCAUCGGCAUUGAAUUAACUGGAAAUAGGAUAAUGAAAAGAUGAUAAUAAGAGUAAUGUGCAUCCAGGUAUCUUGAUCUUUAAAGAAUUCGGUACCAUCAUACUAUUCGUUCGGAAGAAGGAAAGAAAGGGUGUGGCCGGAUUAUGAUCGAAGUACUCUACUACAUGUCAUUCUUGUCGAUAAAUUAAAGUUCUACUAGAAAACUAAAAACAAGAAACUUAAAGAUGAAAGCAACGAUAACUUAAAAAUAAACAUAAAUUGGUUCCACCGUUUGACGAAAAAAUUUCUCCAUGGUUACAAUCUGGUACUUAUAAGUGGCUUCUCUUAACUGGUAAGAUAGAUGCCACUACUUAUCUUGGAUACUUGUUCUUACUAUUAUAUGUCGCACAGUACACUAUUGUCAUACAUGAUAAUUAUGUUACCCCACCACUCAUAUUAUGAAUAGUGGAAAGAUAGGUACAACUACUUGGAUUUGAUAAAUCUCCGGGCCAACAUGUGCCUCAUGACCCGUGAUUGUCAUGCAUGGUAGGUAGUGCUACCACUCUUCUCAUUUUUUGAAUAGUGCAUCUAUCCCUCACAUGUCCUUAGUGGCCCACCAUUCUUAGAUUUCACUCCAUUAAUCAUCUCAUUUUAGGCCAAUAGCUCUCACCCCUUCGGUCUAUACGUUAAUUACUUGGCAUGUUCCUCAUGCAUCGGUCUGCACCCUUCGUGUAUCGCUUUAUAUCCUUGUUGUUGAUGUUUCAAUUUGCACUAUGGGUAUAUUAGCCUUUUGAUGGAUCAUAAUCGUCAAUCUGGAUAUGAUGUAAAUACUCAUACAACAGAAACACCUAAACAUAGGCUAAAAAGAUAUGAAAUGAACAACUUUUAUUCAUAUAAAAGAAAUUAUUACAUUUUAGCACACUAAAUGUCCAGGCUGUGUACAGUAGGUUUUGAACCAGUGAUCAAACACCUCGCAUGUAUAAGCAGUAUAGCCUAAAUCAAUGAUUAAAUCAAUUUUCAGCACUACGGAUCUAAUGUGUUGCUUUAUCAUUGCAACCUUUUCUUUCCCAAUGGAGUCAAAUGGGCGGCUCUACUUCAACCAACAACACAAUUCUACCCAACCCUUUCAAGAUUAUAUUUCACCAUCCCCUCAAGUGAAGAACUGAACUCACACUGAGGGAGGCACUGAAGAUUUUGGAUUGCCAAGUCGCCCUUUUUUUUAGCUAGAUCUUGAGCUCUCUUGAUCCCUCCACACUCAUUAACCAAUUGCAUUGCAGUGUCUAAUGAACCAUCUAUGCUGAACUCGGAAUUGAUGAUCUCUCAUAACUUUGGCUUUUUUUUUCUGCUUUGACGGGUUCUUCAUAUAAUACGCGUACGAAUAUAUCCAAAAAAAUCAAAAAAUACAAGCUCGCGGAGUGCUAGUGACAGCUCCCCCUCUCCUGACCGCAGGGCGUAUCCUGAGUGAUGGGCCGUAUAGGCAGCCACCCAGUCAGCCGCCCCGUUGGUCUCUCUGAAUACAUGCUUGACCUCGAAGACUAUACCAUCCCUCACCAUCAUCCUAAUGUCCCGGAUCAGAGGGUCGUCUCCUGCUAUUGCAAAAAUCACAGGAGCAGCCGGGUUUACUUUCGCCAGGUUUUUACCAGCUGGCUUGUCAAGCUGCUCUGCUGAUUGCGUGAAGUCGAGAAUGUCAUGAGCAACUUGGAACGAUAGAUUCUUUCCAUAUUCAUACAUCUGUUCACAGAUGCUGCUGCUGACACCACUAAAAAUGGCAGCAGUCUUUGUGCUUGCUGCAAUUAAAGAUGCGGUCUUGUAGUAGCGCUUAAGAAAAUACUCUUCCAGCAUAAGGUCACAGUUGAAAAGGCUUGAAUCUUGCUUUGUUUCACCACUAGCAAAAUCCUUGAUAACCUGUGACACUAUUGUUAUGUGAGAAACAAACCAUAUAAUUGAGGAUUUGGGAAGAAGAGAGGAGGUUUUUGUGCCUUCAAUGUUUUCAAUAUUUGCAAGGUACCAAGAAGAUUGUGCAAACAUGAAGUCUCCUGCUAGUACUGCUACCCUUGUCCCAUACAGUUGAUGAAUCGUUUCCUUCCCUGAAAAGAUGGUCUAUUAGCUCAAGCAAUGAAUUUUCUUUACAUAAUCUAAGAAACUGAACAAUUCCAAAUUCUAUUUCCAAAAUAUUCUUCUAGCUCUUUUGACAGUGAUGACUGCAGUGCCUAAAGUCCAACACAGUUGUCAAAGUAUAAAGCAAUCCAAUUUGUUGCUUUAUCCAAUUAACAUGUAAACCUCCUGUAAAAUCAAUUAACAAUUUGUUGCUUUUGACUUUUUGUGAACCUCAAGCAAUACAAUGUAUAACCAGAUGAACUAAACGAAACUAUUUGUUUUACUAAGAACAUAAAAUACACCUAGUUAGAGAUAUCUGUUUGACUGUACAGUUUGCAUUCCUAAAUGAUUCACAAUAUCUUAUGCAAUAGUGCUGUUUCAACACUAAAGAGAAAAGGACCUACUCAAAUGCACCAGAUAUGAAUAGGGUAAGAGGGUACAUAGUAAAAUCCCUUAUCGUUACGAUUGAUCAUAAAUAUGGAUAAAGAUCGACAUAUAAGAAGAUUAUAGAACACAAGAAUAAAUACUAAUACAAAGAUACAUGCCCACAUGUAAGAUCAAGGCUAUACAAAAAGCACAAAGUUCUUAUUAUUGAAAUAAAUAUAAGAAGACCGGUUUGCACAUGUAAAUGUGCAGAAAUCUGUAUUCAGAUGUUGCACAAGCAAGCACAAAAGUUCAUCUCAGAUCAGCAAACAUCAGAAAGAGUUAGCUCAGCAGGUGUGAACUUUGUAAUUUCUUUUAAACUAGGGAGUGAUUAGUAAAGCAUGAGGCAGGUACUAGCUUCAUGGCAUGAAUAUGCCCAUGCAAAAACAGAGAGGAUAAGUGACAGCAAGUGCAACAAGAGAUUUCAUUAUAUGACUAUGAGCACGCAUGCACAUUGAGCAAUCUAGCAAUCAGACAAACAUGCGAAGGAUUUGUACAACAGUGUCUUAAGCUGGUAUGUGAAGUUCUCCAAACCAAUGAAAGUUGAGUUUAGUGUGACAGUUAUGUUUCAUGUAAUACAAACUCAUAUUUGAAAGAAUAAACAGGGGAUUUCCACUACCGACUAAAAAUCCAACAUCUCACAUUGGUCUUGAACAAGGCACCUAAAAAGCUGCAUUACCAAAAAACAAAUGAAGUUGCACACAUAGAAGUUUGUAAGAGAGGAAGAAAAUUUUACUCAAUUCCAUUAUAACAACUGAAUCUCAAUAACGGUUCAAGAACGACACUUGAUUUUCAAUACCUGAACCCUCAGCAUUCCCUAAAAGAACCUUGAUAUUUUCUUCAAUUAGGACCAUACCUGAGUUAGACUUGAUAAUAGAAAUAUUAUGCCAAGGACUUGUUAUCCAAUAAAUUCGCAUACUUGUCUUUCACAUGAUGGAAGGAUUAAUUGGCCAUUAUUACUGUAGACAACCCCAGAUGCCCAUAAUUUCUUUUAUGGGUCAAUAAGGCUUUCUUAGAACAGAUGUUCUUGCUUUCAGACUAAAAGAUACGCCUAGGACCCCAACCACUCUAUAGAUAGCCCAACAACCUAACCCGAAAUAAUCAAGGAAUACCCAGUCCAAUUCAUACCCUACUCAAUCCACUCCCCAACCUAAAUUGGCCCAUCACAAGCAUUAGUUAACCUAUUUAGAGCCAACCCUAGCAUCCUAUAUAGGGCUUUAAGAUACCCUUAACCCAUGAAUACAUAAUCUGGUAUGGCUAUAUCUGACCAUCUUUAACCUAUUGCAUAUUUUAUGAAAAUAUAGAAAUAAAUAUAAAUUUUAAGAUAGUAUCCAUGUAAAUUUGAAUUUUGUGAAGGAUGUCCGUGCAAAAAAAUCUAAGAAGAGGGUAGUAGAGGAGGAGACACGGAUACUACUUCUCAUGUGCACCUCUCGUGUCAAGGAUGAAAGAGGCACAAUUCUGUGCAUUCCGCACUAACUCAGAAGGUGGCAUCAACCACCAAGGUGGUAGCCUGGUGGUAAGGGGGUUUGGACUCCAUCUGAGUUGUCUGGGUUCGAAAUGCGCGGGCAUCGAUUAAAUCAGGGGACCACAUGCCCCACGCCUAAAUGGCUCUAUGUGGAUAUACUUUCCUUUCAUUGAUACUGAGGUGGCGCUGGGGUGACGUACUCACACGUGGAUGGCUCAGUGGNNNNNNNNNNNNNNNNNNNNNNNNNNNNNNNNNNNNNNNNNNNNNNNNNNNNNNNNNNGGGGAGUCUAAUAAGGAUUGCUAUGCAGGUGGGGUUAUGCCCCUCAAAGGAAAAAAAAAGAAAAAAAAAAAAGUGGCAUCAUGGACAUCAUAUGCAUCGCACGUGCAAUUUCGUCAUACCAAUGCGAUACGCUGCCCCUGAAGAAACGGAUGUCCAUCCAUGCAUAUUACUAAAAUUAAAAAAAAAAUAAAGAUUCAUUGCAUAAUUUUGGUCCAUUGAACGUGAACACUUUCACCGGAUAAAGAAAUAUAAAAAAGUUUGUUUCUGUUGACUAAAGAAAUAUAAAGUUAGUCGCGCUUUCAACAUCGCAGCUUCAACUAUAUAAAGAACUAUAAAAAAGUUUGUUUCUGCUGACUAAAGAAAUAUAAAGUUUGUUUAGCAUAAAUCCCCGCUGGCUUCUUUCUCUUCUCCCUCGACUUCUCCAUCCUCUCUUCCCCAAAACAGAGAAAAAACCAUGAUCUUUUAACAGACCCAGCGGGGUUUCCAUGUCCUAUAGAUUCUGGAGUGGUCGAUUCGAGCUCCGAUUGGGUACAGAUUCGAUCCUUUUCUUUCUUAAUUGUUUAAGAUUUGGAUAAAGAUAUUUCCAUCUCUGAUUCGGUUUUCAUGGAAAAAAAAGAUAGUUAUCGGAGUGCUUAUCGAUUCGAAUUCCAUCGUUUAGAAAUGGAAGUGGGUUUUCAUAGACGGGUGAUGGAGAAUAGAUUGGGUCGUCUUGAAGGUUGAUGGAAGUCGAAAGUGUUUUUUUUUUUUGACGAAGUAUCGUUUAUGUUUGCUCCUGUUUAUAUGUUUCUAUUUGUUGAUUCGAUUGGUUUUGCGUGUUGUAGAUUAAUCCGUUAUUGUUUCUGUUUGAGAAUCAUGUAGGAGCUGUCUGAUAUUUUUGGAUGUCAAGGAACGGGAAAUCUUGAAAUUGAGUUUGUUAUAUUAAUCAUAAUUCAGCUCCUUUUUUCCCUUUUGUUUUAAGUUUAGGUUGGCACAGUGGGUUUGUUAAAAUUGGUGGUAGAUUAUAGUGGGAGGUGUUUUAAAGUGUUAAAUAGAUGGAAGGGAUGCUUUUGUUAACGCGAUCCUUCAUAACAGUAUUAAAAUUCUCUUGUAGGUGAUUUUUUUUUCUAUCUUCUCCAGCGUUUUGUUUGUAUGGAAAAGUACAACAUGUGUUUGUGACUUGGCACCGAGCAGGUUGGUUAAGCUCUCAAAUAAUUAUGAUAACUUUCUGAGACAUAGAUGAUCUUGGAUAUUUAGAUAAUAUAUGUACUGGAACAGAAAGGUUUGUGCGAACUAACUUAGUUUUCUUUAUAUCCUGCAACUUUUGCGUAGAACUUGAAACUAUCUGAGAUGAUCACUGAGGAGAAAGUUUUCUGACUGAAGCACAGAAAAAUCAAUCAGGGUUAACACCCGAUAAGAUGGAUCACCUUGCAGUGCUUGCUCAGGAGUUGAAUGACGGUUCAGAUUUCGAAGUUGAUGAUGUAAGACGUGAAAAUCUUACAGAGAAUGAUGUUAGUGAUGAAGAAAUUGAACCAGAGGACUUGGCAAAACGGAUGUGGAAGGACACAGUCAAGCUUAAGAGAAUCAAGGAGCGGAAAAAGCUUGCUGCUCAACAGGCUUCUUCUGAAAAGCUUAAGCCCAAGCAGGCUUCUGAGCAGGCUCGUAGGAAAAAGAUGUCCAGAGCGCAAGAUGGGAUACUUAAGUACAUGUUGAAGUUAAUGGAGGUGUGUAAUGCUCGUGGAUUUGUCUAUGGCAUAAUACCUGAAAAGGGAAAGCCGGUAAGUGGUGCUUCAGAUAACAUAAGGGCAUGGUGGAAGGAGAAGGUGAAGUUUGAUAAGAAUGGACCUGCGGCUAUAGCAAAGUAUGAGGCAGAGAAUUUUGCAGCCCAGAGUGCACAGAAUAAGGGAAGCAAAAAUCAGCACAGCCUUAUGGAUCUUCAAGAUGCUACUUUGGGAUCACUUCUGUCAUCAUUGAUUCAACAUUGCAACCCACCACAACGUAAAUACCCAUUAGAGAAGGGUGUUCCACCCCCUUGGUGGCCUUCAGGAAAUGAGGACUGGUGGGCUGAUUUGGCAUUACGAAAAGGUCAAGCCCCCCCUUAUAAGAAACCUCAUGAUCUAAAGAAGGUGUGGAAGGUUGGAGUACUGACUGGCGUGAUUAAACACAUGUCCCCAAACAUCGGAAAAAUCAAAAAUCAUGUCCGGAAAUCAAAGUGCUUGCAGGAUAAGAUGAGUGGCAAAGAGAGCUCUAUUUGGUUAGGAGUGUUAAAUAGAGAGGAAAUGAUUGUUCAUCAGCUCAGCAGUGACAAUGGAAUGUCUGUUGUAACUCAUCAUAGUGGUUGUGGGGAGAGAAGGGAGGAUUCAAAUAGCAGUAGUAACGAAUAUGAUGUUGAUGGUUUUGAAAAUGCCCGUGGCUCUGUAUCAUCUAAGGAUGAUGGGAGAAAUCUGCAAGUGAAUUCUCAAACUUGUGGAGAUAAUACCACAUCAUCGGAAAGGGAAAAUUGCCCAGUUGAAAAUGGCAACCGACCUGUUCAAGGUAUGGAGCAAGUAGGUGAGCAACCAAAGAGAAAAAGGCCUCGAGUAAGUUCAGCAAUUGUUGAUCAGCGAGCAACAAUGACUCUGAAUGAACACCUACCAGAGGAAUCAAUAAAUGCUAUUCCGGAUAUGAAUUGCACAGACUUGCCUAUUACUGGUCAUCAUAUGCCAAAUCUUAACCUAGAGGAUUGCACAAAUCCAGCUUCAAAACAGUAUGAUGAUCCUAGAAACCAGUACCUUCUCCCUGAACUUGGAAUUAACAAUUUAGGAGUCAUCCCUUCUGUUAAUGUCACUGCACAAAGCGUGCAUGUUGAUGGCCAGCCCUUACCAUAUCCGGGUGUAGAGCAUACUGAGUUACAAUUUGGGACCAAUUUUGGGUCAGGAACCAAUUUCCAAUUUUUCUCCUCAUCAAUGGAAUCUGUGGUUUCUCGGGAUAAACAUCAGUUCACCGAUCAUCAAGUAAGACCUGAGACUACUGGAGUUCCUAUUAACAGUAAUGUCGAUGGCCAGGCACUAAACAGAAAUUCAGAUGCAGCUGCUGGAGGAAUGCAUACAUUUGUAGAUGAGCCCUUCUACAGUGAGCCUGAUAAGUUUAUUGGCAAUUCUUUUGAUGGACUGCCAUCAGAUUACGUUGGGAUCAACAGUCCAAUUUUUGACAUUGAUGAGCUUCUGCGAGACGAUGAUAUAAUGGAGUACUUGGGAACAUAAGUGAGUAAAAGAUUUUAUUAUGUCAUUUGUUCUUAAUGCUCACAUUCUUAGUUACUUUGGUCCUUUUAUUCUCUCUCUUGUAAUCUGUUUUGUAUUGUAGGAAAAGGUGUUAAACGCCUUUCUCUUAGUUGCUUUAUCCAACUCCCCAUUCAUAUUGGCAUAGUGUAAUUCAACCACCAAGUCAUAAUUAUAUUGAGGAAGAGAAAGAUUGAUUGUUUCAAGAAUUAUGGUAUUAACUAUCUUGUGACAUGAGUAGCUAUUAAAGGCUUCUUCUUCUUCUUCUUCACCCUCCUUUGCAUAAAACAAAUCAUAAAGAAUCCAUAUUAUGGUACUACCAUGCUAUACUUCAGCGGAGUCAUAGUUAGGAAUACAUUAUUUUUUAAUUAUCCUUUUGAUCUUAGAUUUUUAUUUUUUCUGAAUGAAGUACUGGAAUGAUUAGACACUGGGACAUAGCAUUCUGAUUAAUGGAACUAAUUAAACUCCAAAAUGGAUGUGUCAGUUUAGCUCCCUACUAAUUUGUCAUGAUGAUUGAGCUUUGUCUCAACCAUUGAGGUCAGCAUUACAAAUUGUUAUUUACCGAUCAUUACAAAUGACAGUUGCAUCCAAUUUCACUACAACUUUUCUUAUUAAAACCAUUAGCUAGAUGAGUUACUGUCAUCAAGUUGUCUAUUGCUUAAGAUGAUACUGAUUUCAUAAAAAUAAAUGUUUUUCUACUCUUACAAGUUACAACAUUGCUAAUCUUGCAAAAUAGAGCUUUGAUUGGUGUCAAAUAUCCAGGAGACAAGGGAGAACUACAAUAAGUCAAGGUUGUCAAGGUGACUAGGCAGUCUCUAGUCAGCAAAGGCCCUAACUGCCUAGGUGCCUAUAGUGGAAUGCCAAGUGACUAAGGCAAUAGAUUUGACAAGGGAAAAAAAUACACAAAGAACUAAAAAUUACAUAUAUCUAUUUUAUUUUUCAGAUCAUACAUAUGAAGAGUUAAAAUUGAUUAAAACCGUAACAUGAUUUCAUUAUAUAUUGAUUGACCAAGCCAAAUAUAAGUUUGUACGUGAUAGCAAAAGCAAAUUGCUAAAGUUAAGUCAUAACAAAUUCAAAUUUGACAAUUCUAAAUUAUAAAGGUUAGAAAUCUUGUUUGAAACCCCAUAUUGCAUUGCGAAAAGAAAUGAGUACUAGUGAGGAGAAUAUAGAACAAAUGAAAGAACAGAGAACAAACAAAAUAGACAAAAAUGGAGUUGAGAAAGAUUACAAGGAAAGAGGAAGAAAAAGAGGAAAAAAAGGAAGGAUGUUUCAAUGAGAAGAGCAAGAAAUAGAAUACAUGAGAAGAGAGGAGGAAGAAAAAGGAAAAAAGUAGGGAAAGAAAGAGAGACUUUGGGAGAAUUUGGGUUGUCAAAAAACUGUCAACAGCCUAUUGGAGGGUGGUUUGUUAGUUGAACGGUAGCCUCUAGUUGGUGGCGCAAAAGUGGAUAAGUAGAUGACAACUGGUUGAGAGCUACUCACUUGCCCUAAGGCAUACAUUGGUGCAUGGGGAGCUAGGCUUCAUGAAGGUGACACUCUGUGGUUGGGAUAAUCAUCGAUGACUAUGAUUUUAGUUAUUUUAAUUGCAAGCAAUGUGUGUCCAGGACCUUGGACGGGGUACCCCAAACCAUGACUACCUUUUGAUUAGACGAUGCUUGUAUGGCAGGCUGAGCUGGUAAUGCCCAAACUACCUAUCCACCCAACCCCUAGCUUUAAUGAUUUUUCUCAAGCGGUCGAAUUACUUCUUUCACAGGGACUCCUGUCAGACCUGUACGAGUACCUAGUACACAAUCUUAAUCAUCGCAACACCUCCCUAGUUGUCAAGCCAAGCCCAAAUUUUAGUCUCAUUCAUUUACCACUUGUACUGAAGUUCUUCCCAGUUCCUUGAGAUACGCAAGCUGAUGAAUUAAAUAUUCUCUUCGCUGUUGUCCCAAGUUCACAUGUGACAGUAGCCAAAUUAGCCUCUCUUAUUAGUUUUAAAAUAGCUAUUAGCAUCCUUCAGCUCACAGUGAUAGGCUGUUUUGUUUGGUGCUUGUUCAAGUUCUUGUUUUCUUAUCUAGAUAUGUUGCUUAACUGUAAGCUUAGUAAAGAUGAUUAAAGAGGUAUUGAAGGCUAUUGAGUUAUUUCUCUAACCAUGUUAAUGGAGAGUGUUUGAUGGGAGAAACACGAUAGAGAAUAAUUUGAUGGAUCGGAAUUUUGAGCUGCGUACUUUUUUCAAAAAAUAUAUUUCACAUAUUAGACUCGGUUAAGGGGGAACUUGCAGCGCAUUCAGAAUGUCCUUGAAGAUGUAUAGAUAGAAUGAAGCAAAUACUUCUAUUUAAUGUUUGACACGCUGUGAUUACAAAUUUAUGGUGAAUCCUGGCUAUGGUCAUUGGAGUGGUGAUUUAAAAGAUACAUAUUUGGCUAAGAAGCUUUAGUUGCAGGAAGUUGGCUUCUUGAUUGCACCAUCACACUUCACAGCACAACCAUCUCUAGACAUUACUUUAGUAGCUCAGAAUGGUUGGGAGAUUGAUUUAGAGAAGAAAGAAAGCAACAAUUCUGAUUAGUUGUUUGAGUUUGCAUGCUGGAAAAAAAAAUAGAAGGAAAAGGAAAUUAACUAAUUCAAAUGGGUCUAUCUUCUUCUGGCCUGGCUUCUUAUUAGAUGGACACAAAAGGCUUCAGAGCGGCAGCUUAAGGAACUGUAAAACUGAAGAUUAUGCACUCUUUUUUUUUCCAUCCAUUUUUGUAAAAUAGUUCUUGGUUCCUGAAGUUAUAAUUCUCAAGGAUAACCACAGCCUAUGCAGAUUUUUUGAUUUUUUUUUAGUGAUCACGUAACCAGUAGGUUGCCCUUUUAAUAACCAUUUGGUCAAUGUUGGUGGCAGUCUGUCUUCAAAGUGUAAGGUUUUUCUAGGAUAAAUGGAGCUUGUCUCUCUUCAUCAAUGUUGAGGGUAUCUGGUCUCUUGAGAAUGUUCUAUGCUUUGUUUGCUUCAUUUAAGGCAAGCUAGUUACAGGUAAGUGUCCUAUCAGUCUGCAACCAAGUGGUGUUGGCGAUCUUCCUUCUAAUUUUCUCUUGCAAAUGCUCCUUGAUAUACUCAAUCUAGUAAUGCUCUUUUGGCUGUUGCCAGCAAGUUCACAUUUACCUGCAAUUAAGAUGGCCUUACAACUCCUUGUUUUAACAUAUUUAUCAACAAAAUAUCUCUUGUGAUUGCUCUUUUGCUUAGAGGUAGUGAAUGUUGUUUUGUUCUGAACCAUAUUGGAGGGAACAGCUUUCUUACUAGUGUCUUUGAUGGGAGAAUGAUGGUAGAGAAUCACUUCCGGGAAGAAUAUAAAAGUCAAUACUGUGGGAUGGAUUGGAUGUUAAAAGAUGUACGGUUCUUCUGGGAUAAUUGCAGAUAUUAAAUUUGGUGAAACAGAAACUUGCAGCCUGUUCUGGAUGCCCAUGAAGAUGUCUUUGUCAGUAAAAAUAAGGCCUUGUGAAGAAAAUUAAUUCUACCGUAAGUCGUGCAGAUUGUCAGUACGUUCUGCAGAUUGUGAGCACAUUGUUUUAUCUGAGCUCAAGCUGUCAAAAUUUGAGUACUGAUUUAGAAGAUGUAUUCCUUGGGGAGUAAAAAAAUCUUUCAAUUAUGUGAUGCUUAAAUACCUAGGAGUUGUUCUAAGGCAUACUCAAAAAGUAGGUUUUUAUGCACCCCAAUAUCAUUGCGACUCCUCUCUAGAUGCUGGUUUCAGAUGAUCAGUCUGGUUGUGAUUUGUGAAAUUGAUUUAGAAAGUCUGACCAUCUGAGUGGUCCUCUGGGACUGCACCUGUGAAAUAUCUCCAGAAGAGAUUGAAGAGAUGGAUUCGAGCUCACUUGUAUAACGUGUUAAUUGGUAGGUAACAGGUCAUGAAGGUAUGGUUGGAAAAGGUAAAUGAACCUUAUGUGAUCAUGAUGAGGUAACAUACUUGACAAAUGUUUCUCAUCUCCUGAGAGUAUACUUGGUUUUACUAUUAUUCCUGAGCCUUGUAAAGUACUUCAAAAUUUUAGAGCCCUAGGAACUGGACUUUGUUUGAUCAUGAUUGUAUGAUGAUAAUCUGGUUUUGGUUUCAGGUCUGCAAUGUAUUUCCACAACGUGAUUGAUGAAGAUAAGAGGCAUUGCCCGUUGGCCACAUUGCUGUGGGCCCUGGAGAUCCAUCCUAUUGGGGGUCUGGUCUCCAAUUUUGACUUAUGUGGGAAGGCUAGAGCCAACUUGUAGACCUCUGGAGGAACAUAUGCUUGUUUUCUAAAUGCAAACAACUUUAGUGGGAUACAACUGAGACUUGUGGGCAAGCCAACUCAACUGAUGAUACUUAGAUGACUAGCUAUGAAAGGGAAGUUGGGCAGGUUGGUAUGGUAAAACCAUAUCUUUUAUUCUAUUCCUUACAUCAACUAGCCAAACUAGCCUCCUGUUCCAUGCAUCUAAGGCAGGUCACCAAGGUUGGACAGACCCGUGCCGAGCCAGAAUAAAGAGUUGACUGCUUGUGAAACAAUCUGAUUCAAUGGGUGAUGUCUUGGUCCUAAUUUGGACCCAUAUGCUAUUGGUAUGGGUUGGACAAAAUCUGACUGCAACUGGAUGAAACAUGGUUUGAAUGUGUUUAAGUGCAACUGAUUUCAUGUUUUAUUUCUUGAUUGCUCUACAGUUCAAUGGUGUUAAGACAUUGAAGAAUUUAUAGCUUUACUGUUGAUUAUUUAUGUACAGCUGAAAAUUAAAUCAGGUUAACCCGACCCCCGUCCUAUCCAUCAGGGACUUGGGUGAGGUUAGGUUUGGUUGGCAGCCUGACAAAAUUAGUAUAUAAUUGUCAAUUGCUCAUACAAGACAUCACCUGUAAAUGAUAUCUGUGGACAGUAAUUUAUAUACAGCAUCUUAGACUUUCGGUCAGGACAUGUAAUUCUGUGUGCUGGUUUAAAUCAUCUUGUUCCUAAUAUCUCAGUCAAUCAUUGUCUCUCUUUACAGAAAUUUCAGUUGAAUUGUCCUCCUUGGAACUGCUCCAGUUCCCUUGGGAUUAGACCUGUUGUAACCAGUCCUUUGUUGCCCUCGAGCCAAAGUUUACUUAAGCUAACCAACUCUUAGUCGCUCUUUGUUGAAGGAUACGGAAUAGGGUUUGGUUUAGGUAGCUUCACAAGUCUGAUUGAGGCUGCACAAAUUUAUGACCUAACCAAAGCAUCCAAGUCCAGCUACCACUGUUAAAUUUGAUUUAUUCAAAAAAAAAGGGUAAAUUCGAUCAAAAUCCAAGAAAGUGUUCCUAGGGCAUUUUUGUUGUAUUAUGAUGUACAUGGCGGCCUACUACCACAGUGGCGGUUAUGCGACAUUAGGUAUUUUGGUGUUAUGUAACGGUGCAAGCCUGUUUCGCUAUUUUUUUCAUAUGUGGUACUGAGGGCAAAUUUUGGUAGUAAAGUUGCUUCAUUAUGAUCUGAAUAUCACAGAUUAGAUGUAUGAAAACAGUCUCUUUAGAUGAAGUAAGGUCGCGCACAUCUGAUCUAUCCUAGAUAUGCAGCAGUGAUGGAUAUUCUUUUAAUUUAUAUGCGGUAUAUGGUUUUAAAAUGGCUUCAGGCAAACAUUCCAUGCAAUGUUAAAUUCAUCUGACAUGAUAUUUUGAGAGAUAAUAACCUAUAAAUUAACCUUUCCAAUCUCAUGACGUUAUGAAUUUCAUGUACAGAUAUAUGUACAUUAGAAGAGAUUCAAUGAAUAACAUCAACAUAAGCUAAAAUUUCUCACGUACAAGAAACAUUUCGGGCACAGAGACUCAUUAGUUCCGUAUGGAGUAGCUUGGACUUUUGGAGCCAUAUGUAUAGAUAGGUAUAUCAAUUCCAUUGCUAAGAUCUUGCUAAAGUGAGUGCAGGCAUAUUUCAUGAACUGUCAUCGACUAGUUUCUAAGUUCUACCUUCUAUCAGGCUUAAAACUACAACUAAGCAGUUAGUCCCGGCCCAUCAUGCAACGCGAUCGUCCAUCAGAUUUAUAUCCAACGGUCACAAGCCCCGGUAUCCCCAAUCGCAGCUCUUCUUCGAAUAGAAGCCCGACCCUAUUCUGGGGACAGAUGACAUCGCAAGUAUUUAUAUCAUUCGACGUCUUAUACAUACCAAAAUUUAAUAAAAACGCACCUCAAUUUCUUGUGUUCUCACGCAGCUUAACCUAGAGGAGCAAAUCGAGUGUAAAAAUCAAAAUUGGCGUGUAUUUAGCAUAAUAGAAAUCGUGCCCGUCAAUACCUUCUUUCACCUCAUCGCAGCGAUCAAGUCCUUUUCUCCUCACGUGCACUGCACGUGUCAGGAGUUGGUUCUCUCUCAUCCUCCUAAACAAACCCUAGCUUUGUUUUUUCCCCUCCAUCUUCUCUCCGCCGUCGUCCGCAGAGACAGAAAUCCUAACCCUAGAGAGAGGAACUGAAAGAUAAAGAGAGGGGAACGGAAAGAAAAAGAAGAACGUUUGUGAUGGGAUUCGACGUCGGCGUCGUCCCGUUCAACCCCGACGGGUGGGGCCCGCCGGACACGCCGGCGGUGCCCCUCCUCCCCAAGCGCGAGGGCGAGGGAACCCACCCGGCGAACAUCCCCUUCGCCCCCUUCUCCCGGUCGGAUAAGCUGGGCCGCAUCGCCGACUGGACCCGCAACCCCAACUUCAACAACCUCGGCGCCCGCUCCGGCACCGGGCGCGACGCCGUCUUCGACUUCGCCCUCGACGAGUCCUCCACCCUCUCCGCGGCCGCGGAUGACGACUCGUCCUUCCGCCUCGUCGACGGCAAGCCUCCACCGCGCCCCAAGUUCGGGCCCCGCUGGCGCUUCCAACAGCGGCCCCAGCUCCCCCAGCGCCGCGACGAGGAGGUCGAGGCCCGCAAGCGCGAGGCCGAGAAGGAGCGCGCCCGCCGCGACCGCCUCUACCACCUCCACCGCUCCUCCGCCGCCUCCGGCCCAGCCUUCGCCGGCGGCCGCGGCCGCGACUCUCCCACCCUCAAGUCCUCCGUCGACAUCCAGCCCGAGUGGACCAUGCUCGACCAGAUCCCCUUCUCCACCUUCACCAAGCUCUCCUUCGCCGUUCCCGACCCCCCCGAGGACCUCCUCGUCUGUGGCGCCCUCGAGUUCUACGAUCGCUCCUUCGACCGGGUCAACCCCAAGAACGAGCGCCGCCUCGAGCGAUUCAAAUCCCGCAACUUCUUCAAGGUCACCACCACCGACGACCCCGUCAUCCGCCGCCUCGCCGCCGACGAUAAGGCCACCGUCUUCGCCACGGACGCCAUCCUCUCCGCCCUCAUGUGCGCCCCCCGCUCCGUCUACUCCUGGGACAUCGUCAUCCAGCGCGUUGGCAACAAGCUCUUCUUCGACAAGCGUGACGGCUCCCAGCUCGACCUCCUCUCCGUCAACGAGACCUCCCAGGAGCCCCUUCCGGACGCCAAGGAGGACAUCAACUCCGCGCACUCCCUCGCCGUCGAGGCCACCUACGUCAACCAGAACUUCUCCCAGCAGGUCCUCCUUCGUGACGGCAACAAGGUCACCUUUGACGAACCCAACCCCUUCGCUGCUGAGGGCGAGGAGGUUGCAUCUGCUGCCUACCGCUACCGCCGCUGGAAGCUCGAUGAUGACACCUAUCUGGUCGCCCGCUGCGAGGUCCAUGCUGCGUCCGACGUGAAGGGGCAGCGCUCCUUCUUGACUGUGAACGCCCUCAAUGAGUUCGAUCCCAAGUACACAGGUGUCGACUGGAGGCAGAAGCUUGAGACCCAGAGAGGGGCCGUGCUUGCCACGGAGCUCAAGAACAAUGCCAACAAGCUCGCAAGGUGGACCGCCCAGGCCCUCCUUGCGAGUGCCGACCUGAUGAAGCUUGGCUAUGUCUCAAGGGUCCACCCCAGGGACCACUACAACCAUGUGAUCCUCAGUGUCAUUGGGUACAAGCCGAGGGAUUUCGCUGCCCAAAUCAAUCUCAACACCUCAAAUAUGUGGGGGAUUGUCAAGUCGAUUGUGGACCUGUGCAUGAAGCUCAAUGAGGGUAAGUAUGUGCUCGUGAAGGACCCGGCGAAACCCCAGGUUAGGAUCUAUGAGGUGCCAGCGGAUGCAUUUGAGAAUGACUAUGUGGAGGAGCCGCUGCCCGAGGAGGAGCAGGUACAGCCACCUGCGGAGGAAGAAGAUCCUGCCAGCAUCAUGGAUGCUGUUGCUGAAGCUGAGGCCAAUGCUGGUGGUGGUGGUGAAGCUACUGAGGGGGAGAACGAUGCCACUGCUGCUGCUGUUUGAAGGGUACAAGCCACCGUCCCUUCCCACUUCAGUAUUUCAAAAUUAUGACUAGGAAUUAUGACCUUUUGGAUCGAGGAUUAUCUAUCUGUUAUUGCAAUAUCCUAUUAUUUAUGUUGCUUUGAUUUGUGACGGGACUGUCUUCUCUUUUAUCAUGCUUGAUUGAUGAGUCUAGACUUUUAUGGACAAGGCUUUCCUUUUGUCACUAGGAAAAAAUAAUUUUGUGAGAAUGAUAAUGGCUUGCUAUAUUACAAGGAGGAUGUUUAUUAACAAUAUGUGUUUCUAUCUUAUAUAUGUUUAUAUGUAACCUAAGCUUUAUUUUGACCUCUUUUAACACUUUGUCCUUUAUAUUCUUUCUUUAUCCAUUCUCCUAAUUACUCUUAUGCUGGUUAUGAUUAUGGGUUAGAUGAUGUGUUUACUUGCUUUUUGAUACGAUGGUGUAGCUGAGUCCAUGAUUUUUCUUCUGAAUGCUUUUUGGAAAUCUGCAUUAGUGUUGUAGGAGGCUUGUGACUUCUUCACCUACCAAGAUUUCAAGAAGACUUACCAGUAAACAUCCUUUGGAUAUGGCUCUGAAUUCUUUUUUAAUGUUCUACUAAAACAGAUAUGUACUAUCAUAAUGUUUUUUCUUUACAUUCUUGUAUCCUUGCAUGAAAGGAAAAUGUGUAAUUCUAAACUUUAUGGUUAGAUUUCUUUGUUCUGGUAGAAAGCACUUAGGCUAAUUACAUUCAAGUAAAUUUCCUUUGUACAAGAAAGCUGGCCUUCUCCUUUGCAACAAUGGGUGCUAGAAAAGUGGGUAAGAGAUAAACCACUUAAAAUUUAAAAACUAUAACAAGUCUUGAUGGUAUAUUUUGCGAAUAGAUGGGUUUCCUGUUCGUUUCAUGCGGGGAAUGGUAAAUCAGGAUGAAUCAUGAGUCUUGGAGGAGAUUUCUCUGUAAUCAGUGAUAAUGCGAAAAAGUUCCUGCAUAGGUUCACUAGAAUUGUUAAAUAGGAUUUGAAAAUCUGAAUAAUGGACAUUGCAUUUGUUUCCACUAGACACCAGAGCAUUUCACCGGUCUUGGCAGUAAAUCUUUGUAGUGAAUUAUCCUUUGGCAUCCUAAUCUAAUUAGUAAAGUACAUAGUGCUUAAUGAUACAGUCACCACUUAAGUUUCUCAGAAGUUGCUGUUUAAAAGACCUUGUAACAGCUGCUUCCUCAUCAAAUCUUACUCAACCAUGGCUGGGUCAUUGGUGAUUCAGCUUAUGAGCCAAAAUUCUAGAGUUGAGUCACUAUAGACUUAACAUGUUUUCUUGGUGAAGAAUAAGUGACUGAUAGAUUAUGAGCCAAAAUUCUAGAGUUGAGUCACUAUAGACUAACAUGUUUUCUUGGUGAAGAAUAAGUGACUGAUGGAUUAUGAGCCAAAAUUCUAGAGUUGAGUCACUAUAGACUAACAUGUUUUCUUGGUGAAGAAUAAGUGAUGGACAUAUGGUCUAGGUGAGGAUAUACGUAGCUUUUGAUGAGUGAGAGCUCUAAUCAGUACUUGGAGACUGAAAUUCAUGUAAUCAAAUAUCUGUUCUAGCUUUCACAUGUGCUGGAGGAUUGUAGCUGUAGAAAUUUUAGUAACUGCUUGAGUGUGGAUGAUGAGAAGUGCAAGAAGCCGUAACAUUCAAGUGAAAUUGCAUUUUUUUUUCAAGGUAAGAAAGUGAAAUUGCAAUUGUAUGUUUCCGAGCAUUGAUUGCAUGCCCAAAAAAAGGACUUAAAGAAAGGAUUUUCUGUGACUUUUGUUCUUAAUUGAAGGAGCAAAUGCAUGGGGACAAAUCUUCAGCUUUGAAGUAAUGGAGAGUCAGGGGGAUGCGGCAUCCAUGUUCAUUACUGUUAUCAUGCAGCCCUAUAUAAUUAGACAUUGAAGUUUUGAUGUUUGUUUUGGUCCAAAUUAUUGAGUUUUCAUUGGUCAAGCCUUAAUGAGUUUUUGAUUAUUCAAUAUUGGAUACUAUGAUCUAGUCUAAAUGGAUAAGCAAGAUCAUACUGUUAGUUGGCGUAAGGAUUGAUAAUAUUGUUGGUCUUUGAGCUUCUUUUCGAGGAUCGAUUUGAUUUCAGUGAGGGAGAUAUCAGAGGAUCAUGAAUAAUCAUAGAUUAAAAUGAAUAAUUACUGUUUGGAAGCCCACUUAGUUUAUACCUUGAAUAUUUCCUUUUCCUGAUAAUGCUAAGAAGAACCUAGCCAGGUGGGGUGAGUUUUUCUUCUCCUAUUGAGAAAAAUCUUAAUAACCUGGGGAUAACUAAAACUCUUUCAUAUGAAAAUCCAUUGUUUUAAUAAACUCUUUCAUAUGGGAUAUCAUUAUCUUAAUAAAAAGGGGGAUUGUUAGUGCUUGGAAAACCACCUCAACCAGUUUCAUUGUUCCUUUCCCUCACCUUUUUGAGAUGAUGACAACCACAAAUUGUAACUUACAUGCUGAUGGCUUAUCUGGGCAUCCAAAGAGGCUCUUAUGGCAUUCAUGACAAUUAAGGCUUCUAGGGAAUACAGGAACAUUUGGAACUUUAUUAAACUUAUAAAGUGUUUGGUCUUUGUAAUUUGGUUAAUGUAUGGACUGAUAAUUGUGUCAAAUCGAGAAGUACGUGGCAUAUUCAGGAACUCAGACCAGCUGAGGGGUAUACAUCUUGCCACUCUGCUGGCCUGGAGGGAACUGGUAUACAUCUUGCCAAACACUUUCAUGUCGACAUACCAGCAUACAACACUUCAAACCUUGCUUUAUCAUUGAAUAUGAAAUGCACUUCAAUUGAUAAUGUUAAGAGGGACGGGAUUUGAGCUAACUAAUACCAUUUCUACUUUUUCUGAAGUUUUAACUUAUCUGUAAGUUCGGUAUUUUGUUUCUCUGUACUUAUAGUUACAAAUGAUUCUUGUGACUGUUUGCUUGGAUAAAGGGCAAUCUGAAACAAAUGAAUGGCUAGUUAAGGUACAGUGAAAGAGAAAAUUCACUUUGUCAGCCCUUCCGUUGCUCGUCAAGGUGACAGCUUAAUUUAGAGCAUAUGUAAUCAAGAAAGGUAGAUAAAUUCUUUUAAGAAUACAAGUUGGUUUUUUAUGCAUAGAAGCAGAGAUUUCAGAGUUGAAUCAGUUUCUUUUUUGUAAAAUGACGGUGAAGUUCCUAAGUUCCCUUUCACACGUUUGGAAUAGUUCAUGAUGAGAUCUUGGAAUGAGUUUGUAAAAUGGUUGUCAUCCACAAACUAUUAAAUGUAAUAAACUAAGGGAGAUUGUUACUGGAAGCUUGGAGUCUCUAAGAGCCUCGAAGCUCAGCAUCCGCCUCCUCGGAGCCUCCUCUGCCCCGUCCAACCUUCCUCAUCUUCCAGAGUUAACUUCACUGAGGGACAAAAUCAUCAGCAACCUGCUGUCCGGUCAUCUGGCUCUCCAGAAUUUAGCAUUACCCGAGUAUGUGGAGAAUAAACUCCUUUCUGAGAACAGCUUAAAGCCUUUUUUUCCUGAAUCUCAAAAAUAAAAUGCAGUGCAGCUUCAGUGGCAGCAUGCAUGGAGAUGAGACUCCAUCAGUCAGAUUAGGAUGCCUUGAAGUAAUUGCCUGUAGGAUCAAUGUUACUGCGCCCCAUAUGAUGAAAUACCCAUAAUUGUAGCAGAAAUGAUUUCCCCCCCUUUUUUGGCAUCGCUCGGAGCACUUUUAGCUAAAGCAAACAAAAUGCCUCACAACCUGAAAUAGAAUGGCAAUAUACAAAGAGAUGAUAUUUUGUGUGUUAAGAUCCCUUUAAGUUAGCUGGUAUCAGCUUAAAGACUAAAGCCUUUUAAGUUUAGACUGCCGGCAUGCUUAGAGGUAGUAUAUUGGGCACGGCUUUUUUCCUAUUGAAAACAAGACAAUUUCUUUUAAACUUGAUGCCACUCAGUUAUUAUGCAUGUGUAUCUGUAGUCAAAAAAGGCUACGUACUACUUUUUGUCACUCUCUUUCUUAAUAAAGAAAAACAGACAUCUUUUUCUUUUUUUUCUUAACAAAGAAAAACAAAUAUCUGAAAGUUUGUCAAGGUACUAUUUGUUCAAACCUAUNNNNNNNNNNCAACAAUCCUUCCUAUGUCUAUGAGCAAUCUUGAAGGUAAGUGCUUCUUAUUCAUUCACAAGCAUCCAUCAUAAUCAAAUGACGACUUUAUCCAUUACAACAAGCUUUAGUAGAUCAGCAGUAACAUCACUCGAACGCUCUCCAGCUAGAAUCUGUAGCAUGCAGAGAACUACGUUGUGUGCGGUAAGGGAAAGUUGAUUCAGUAUUUUGAAGAGAAAAAAAUCUAUGCGACAAUAAAAAAGGGUUACUGAAAGCAUAACAUUUCCUUAAUACAAAUUUAAGAUAUCUACAUUAUAUCUGAGUUUUAACUCUUUGCUCCUAUUGAGACGAUUUGGCAUUCCUAGUUGAGUCAGCCAUUCAUUCAAGUAGGCUGUGUUUGUCGCAGGCCCAAUUAUUGAGGCCUCUUUUAGGAAUCAUGGAAACCCAGUAGCUAAGGGGCUAUGCAAUUCCAGCUAGUUCAAGAGUGGCAGAGGAUUUUAUUUUCGAUCUUAUGUAUUGUAAACACAGAGAUGGAGCAAGAUGCAUUGUUGUUAUCUCAAAAUCCAAUAUCACGUUUCAAAAUAUUUAUUUGAUUAUUAGUUAAGAUGCCAUCAUCUGUAAUAUUUAUCAAUCUUUCCACUGGUAAUGGAAAGUGCUUUAGACCUUCGAGCCUUCCCUCCUUGCUUGAAAUCCUUUCCAUCCAGACAUCCAGUAGGUGUUAUAUACAAAGGCUAGAAUCCAGGCGCGCUCUACUUGUACUCCAUCUAAAUAUUGUGAGGAAAUUUUCUUUGAAUCUCAAAUUGGCAAACCGCAUAUUGGAAAAUAGAAAAUCUAACGGUUCGGAUAUAGCUCAGCUAUCAAUAUAUUUAUAUCUAUAUUUAUGUUGCUUGACGAAUGCAAAUAUGGAUAUAAAUAUGGAUAUUAGUCAGGUGCAAAAAUUCAUAUCUAUAUUUAUUUUAAACAGAUAUAGAUACAAUUCGGAUAUUAAAAGUAUUGAUACAGAUAUGGAUAUAAGUUAGAUAAUUAAAUUUUAUAUCUAUAUAAUUAAAAAUAUUAUUAAGUAAAUGGUAAAUCAAGUUAAUAGCAAAUUAGUAUAAUUAUAUAUUUUCUAAUAUGAUUAAUAUUUUUUUAAAAAAUUAAUAAGUAUUAUAUAAAAUUAAAUAAAAUUAUAAAUAAUAUUAGAUAUUUAGAUAUGGAUCAUAUAGUUAUAUAUAUAUAUUUAUUUAUUUAUUUAGUAGAUAUGAAUAUAGAAACGGUAUCUGGACCGAUUCAGGCUUCACAGCAGCAAAUUAUCCACCCUAAAUGAUCAUAAAAACCCGGCACGGAAUUCUGUCCAUAUAUACCCCCAUUUGAUACCACGUGAAGAUUUCGGGAUGUGUUUAUCAGACAAAACACUUUGAUCACAGCCGUUCAUCCUAUUCAUCAAAGUACAUCGUACGUGUGCUUUUCAGACUCUCGCCAACGGUCCCGUCGCAAAAAAGCCUCUGUACUUUCCCUUCUUAAACAGGCCUCCCGUUGGGGCUGCCACGCGCCCACGCCCGUGCACUCCGGCUUCUUCCAGCUCCACCUCUAUGGCUCUAUGAAACCGCAGUAACCGCCCACGUUUUUUUGUUCUCAUUUUUUGUGCCAACCUCUACUGCGGUGUAAACCGUGUGAGCGUGUGUGCGAGAGAGUGGUAGGUUCAAGAAACCAGCCGCCCAUGGCGGCGAACAGGAAGAAGAAGGGGAAGAUAGUGUCUGACUCCGAGCCGCAUCUGAGCGGCGGAGUCGCCGCCGCCGACGGCCUGGACCUAUUCGGACUCCUCCCGGACUGCCUUAUCGUCUCCAUCCUCUCCCUCCUCCCCAUCGAAGACUCCGUCCGGACCAGCAUCCUCUCCACCCGGUGGCGCCAUCUCUGGACCCUCGCCCCCCUCCGUCUCCUCGACGACUCCGCCCUCCGCUCUGAGAGAAUGAAGCACAUCGCCCUCCGUACGGCCCACCAGGAGCAAUGGCGCGCCAUGGAGGGCUGGCGCGUCCAAGCCAUAGGCCGCGUCCUCUCCGCCCACGCCGGUCCUAUCCAGAUCUGCCGCCUUUCCUGCCUCUAUUUCCACGUCUCCCUUCUUGACGGCUGGAUCCAAACCCUAAUCCGGAAGGGCAUCCAAGAUCUCGCUCUCCUCAUCCCCAUGGAGAAGCGCUUCUACCUCGUGCCUCCUUUCCUUAUCACAUGCCAAUCCCUCCAGUCCUUGGAGCUAUGCUACUGCCGAUUCCCGAAACCCACUCACCCUCGCCCCUAUCUUGUUAAUCUCAGAGCUCUGAAGCUGAAGUGGAGUCUCGUGACGGAUGCCGCCGUCCAUGAGAUUCUCUCCAGCUGCCCGGCUUUGCAGAGUUUGGCUUUGGUGCACUGCGCUGGCCUCCGGCGCAUCCAUCUCCGCUCCCCGGUUCUCUGCAGCAUGACACUGGAUGACUACGCGGAGGAGGUCGAGGAGCUCUUCGUUGUCGAUGCCCCGAAUCUCGAGUGUCUGAUGCUCGGUAAGAGCACGACGACGAGGACGCGCGUAAAAGUUGGAAAUGCACCGAAGCUGGAGCUGCUGGGCUUUGUUGAUAUGAGCAUCAGGAUGCUCGAGUUGGGAAGCACUUGUUUCCAGGUACUUUUGUUCAUAUAGAACUGAUAUUGAUGCAAUGUUACUGUAAAGCUCAUUUUUGUUCUUCGCACUGAAUUAACCGUCUCUCUCUCUCUCUCUGCGUUUAAUUUACUUCCUAUGUCGCAGCAAAGUAUGCUUAGUAAAUUGAGUACUUUGGUGCAUAGUCUGAAAAAGCUAGCCGUUAGAGUGAACUUCAAUGACGAUCUUCAGGCACAUACACUUUUUGACCUGCUCAGAUGCUUCCCUUGCCUGGAAACAUUGGAUGUUUUGGUAAUUUUGAUAUUUGUAGUGUUUGGUGUUUCUUUGUUUUUUGUUUUUUUCCUUUUGAUAACAGAAGCUUUGGGCUCGCCCCCCCUUUUUGUUGGCUAUAGAUUGUUGACAUGGAUAACUAUGAUGAGCCGGAUUUGGAGGACUGGGAGCUGCAUGGUUCGUGUGAUUGUCUUGAGCAUCAUCUGAAAAGUGUGACAUUGAAGGGUUUCUUGGGACAGAGAACCGAUUUGGGAUUUGCUAACUUUCUCAUUGAAAAAGCGCGAGUGCUUAAGGUCAUGAUUCUUAUUUCUGUUUGUGCUUGGAAAGAGGGAUGGGUAGAGACCAAACAACAAGAUAUGUCGCUUCAGAAUAAAGCUUCUGUAAAUGCUGAAAUAGUUUUCGUGAAAGAAAAACAUGAGAAUAAUCGAUUUCAACCUUGGAGUUCACUAUUUUGAACUGUAGCAGCUCGGUUUGGAACGAGAUUUCAAGAUAUUUCAGAUCGUUUGGGCUUUGGUUUCCUUUUGGUCCGAGUUAUUAUAAGAUGGCUGGAAAAGCAGAAAUAACAUGAAGGAGUGAUCUGAAGAAAAAAACGCAUUUAUUGCUCAUAAUGGUGUCAAUAACCUAUUUUCUUAUCCAUCGAUGUGGCUAUGAGAUUUUGCUAUGGAAACCUUCGUGUAAGUUAUUUUCAUUGUUCUUAUUUUGGAACUCAAAAUUUUACUGCAGUUCUUUGGGUGAAACUUUUUAUUUAAGUAACUACAUCCUACUGGAAAAUGGAACAAAUUAUGCUUCUUAUUUCCAUAUUUAAAAUUUAUGAAGUGUCUGUGGAUUUCUUCCUGGUGUUUAUGAGAUUGUGAAUUUCACAUUAUUGGUGGAUAAUUUGCUUCUUCAAUAGAUAAGCUGGUGGGAAUAGAUUUGCAAAUGAUGGAUAUCUUUCUGCCGCAUAAAAUUAUGAAUUGUUGGUUCUUGUUGGCUGUUUGACUUAUGACGUCCCUAUUUCGUCCAUGAAAUAUUUCAUGGAGGAAUUGUAUUCAAAGGAAAUUGCUACACCUUUGUUGUUUGGCUGAUUUAAAUUUCAUACAGGACACUAGACACUUCUAAUUUACUGUGUUUGGCGACACCUGAUUGUUCUGCUAGCUGGAUGUGACUCUAAUGCGACCCUUCUGAUGUUCCACAUCUCUGUUCACCUGGAUGAUGCAAUGGAUCCACCUUUUUGAGAUGAUUGAAUGGUAGAGGAGCACCACAUCUAAAAGGUCACAUGUCAGCCACAUCAUUUUUAUGCAUCAUUGUUAUUGUCAGAGGAAGUGUAGAGAGUGGAGCUUUUUGUUGAAACGUGCUUUUAUCAACUACCAUCUGAGUCAUUAAGGAAUAUAUGAUGCCUGCUGUUUGUGUGCACAAAUAAAUAUUCAUGCUUGCCAUUGCUCUUUACCAUCAAAAAUUACUUGGCUUUAUAUAAGUUGUUAAUUUAUUAGAUUAUACCGAUAUGUUGUGAAGCAAGUAUGGUGCCACUUCAGUUGCAUCCUACAUGCUGCUUUGUUCACUUCUGGAUUGCUUGCUAUUUGUUUGCUAUGAUCAAUAUGGCUAUUUGUGAAUGUCUCUAUGUUGCUUUCAUGUGCUUAUGUAGUCCUAACUCAAUUGGCAGUCCUAUCACUCUUUUGCUGAUGCAAUACAUAGGAGGGUGCCAUAAAAAAAAGAGCAGUCAUAAAUAUUGCCAACUUAUUAUGUGAAUAUAUGAAUUUUUCUUUUGCUCAUAGUAGUGUGUGUUUUAGUUGUGUUGGAUCCAAACUGGGCAUUCACUUUAUGAUCCUUUAUCUUAAUGCUUUUGAUGGAUGGAGUUGUUAUCAAUGUUCGAAAACAGGUCUUCGCCUUUUGAUGUGUGUGUAUUUUGCUGUAUCAGCUUGUCUGAGAUUGGAGUUGUAGUGAAGGCUAGAAAAUCUUUCUUCGGCCAGGUUAGAGCUUUUUUAAACCUAAACAAGCAAAAAACCAGGAGACUCUAAUGCCAUGAAGAUUUAGGAUCGCUUAAAGCAAUUUCUAUACUCCCAAAAUCUUUGGGUCAGGGAGGCAGAUGCUAAAUAUGAAUAGCCCCCCAAAGCAACGGGCAUAACACCUGGUAUUGAAACCCAGUCUGGAGUGAAAUAAAUACUGCAUCUUCGGUUUAAAAAUUAUAAUAAUAAGAAUGCCGUAAGUAAAAUAAAACCAAAGUCAUAUUGCAUUAUACUUCAGUUUACCAGAGUGGUAAACUGAAUGAUAAUGUGAGAUGACUUUGGCCUUGACUGGCAUGUGUAGAUGAAUUUGCAACCCUGCUUAUUUGUAAACACAUGAAAACUAAAAUCCAUUUUUUUAAUUGUGUAGUUCUAAUUUAGUUUUCUGUUGAAAUCUGAUAUCUUGAUUCAUCCAUUACUUUCUUAGUUUUUACAUGUAAAGAGUGCCGUUAUUUUGUACAUUACUUGGGUGGACAGAAAAUAUUUGAUGAUGCAUAUUAAAACAAGUAGAAAUUUCUGCGUUAUUCUUUGAGCUGCUAGAGUGCUCAUUUCUGGAGUCUUUUGCUUUCUUAUAUUACUGUAAUAAAACGCCAUUUCUGAAUGCCUCUAUAUAGUUUUCUUGUGCUUAUAUUGCAUUUUUAACACUAACACACUCCUGUGGUCAUUCUUUGCUCAUGUAACACACAGAAGCAUGGCGAAGUUAAACUGACGAGCAGUUGGUACAAUGUCAACAAAGACUAGGGUGUGUUCUUAGUUCUUAUAAUUGGCAGUUGGCAUUAGGAUCUUAUAUCAUCAUAAUAUUGAUAAACUUAUAUCAUCACACAAUAUGCUGUGUUAGAUCCUAAGGUUAGGCAUAUGGUGAUUGCUAGAUCGGUCCAGUAGAGAAGAAACCCUUUCCAGAAGAAACCUUAAAACUGUGCUACAUUAACAGAGACAGACUUCUAUUCUGGUUGGGAUCCCUUGGUGGUGGAUAAAACAUGAUUGUGGAAAACAAACUUGUUCUGGAGAAUGCCUAAAAAAUUGUUAGCUAAGACUGAUAAUUUGCUCAAAGUAAUCUGUUUCGUGCUCAUAAGAAAUAGCACAUUCUAAAACAAGAUAGUUUGUGAUAAAAGUAAUGCCACCUAGCUAUAAUUAGAUAUUUAUGGAUGAAUGCUUUCUAUUCGUAGUGUUUGUAUGCAUGCAUUCAUGCAUGUACGUGUACAUGUAUGUUUCCAACUGAACUAAGAUUUUUUGUCUUUCAAUGGAAAAAGGAAUAUUUGACAUCUUAUGUGAGCUUAAAUAUUAUUUAUUCAAAAAGUUGGGUGUGUGUGUGCUAUAUGUAAAUCAACAUUUUGUGUCUGGAAUACCUAAACAAUAAAUAAAAGGUAUUUUUUGAUUUCACUUCGUUUCCUUUGUUCUUUAAGUUGUAGACAAACAUACCUUGAAGUUCUUUUGCCAAUAUAUACACAGAUAAGACUAAUCUUGCUUGAACCUUUACCUGUAUCAUAUAGUCUUUAUCUAUUUAUUUAAGUGGUGAUAAAUGUCUGGAACACUGAUGCUCUGCAUCUCAAAAUUUAAUAGUAUGGGAUAAUAACAAGAGUUAAUUAGAGUAAUGAGCAUUGAUCAAUAAACGGAAUUAACUCUAGGACUAAUUUGUUCAAGAUGAUGGACUGAGAUGAUCUGUGUUAAAGCUAGGAAUGUUUAAAGCAAUAACUUGCGUGGUAUAGUCUGUAAAGAAAUCCAUCUUUUCAAGGAGAAAGCAGGUAGAGAAAUCUUAUGUGGUCUAGUUCUGCACAUAUGGGAUUUGGAUUUUAAAUAAGUAAUGGACUUUGUUAGAGAAGUUUGUUUUCAGUUCCCAAAAUUAUUCAAGAAUUCUUAACAAUUUUGAAGGUACAUUGCCAUUUAUUAUAAUCGCUCCAAGUCUAAGAAGUAAGAUUGGAAAUUUAUAGGAAAAUUAGAUAAAUUGUGAGGUUUAUUUAUUUAUCAAUUAUUUUUUUUGGUUUUAAUGUCAUAACUUUAGCUGUGUGCCAUGGCCUUCUGUUACUUUGUCUUGGUUUCCUGCUGUUUCUUUUAGCAAAGUAAUAACUAUUUUUCUCCACAUUACAUUGUUCUGGCAUAAUUUAUGCCUGAGUUUGAAAUAUCAGCUGGCUAUUUCUUGGUCUUGGGAAUUCCAUUUUUAUAAGGAAAGUCGUUUUUCCAGGAAUAGGCAAUGUUCUCUGAGAAAUAUAGUUGGGAUUCCACUGCCAGGGUUCAGAAUCCAGGCCUCUUUCAAGUGGAGCGACAUCAACUAGCUUGUCCGCCCUAUGAAUGAACAAUGUUCAUACUGGCCCUCUCAUGAUCUAAUUCAUGUGGAGUGAUUUCUGUUUGCAGUCCUUCAUGGACAAACUGGAGGACCUGGCAGAAGUGCAUCAAGAGUGAAAUUAAGGACGCCCUCGGCAGCAAUCUCCAUCACCAUUUGGCAUUUGGGUGUUUGGAGGUUUUGUUGGGUUUUUUUUUUUUUUUUUUUUUGGGGGGGGGGGGGGGGGGGAGUAUUAUCUCAGUCAUGCUGAGAAGCCUCUUUAUAGAUUUCUGCAGAUGUUAAAUCCCAUACAUUUCCUAUAGGCUAUCGAUGCUGAAAGAUUGAGCUAGUUGCAGGAUGUCAAAAAAGCAGUUGGAACUUAGUAUGACAAAACUAGCACAAUUGAAAGUCAAUUAAUCCUGAUGAUUUUCUUCAGAAUGAGGCAAACAAGGUUGCCCCGGAGAACUUGAAAGCAAGUUUGCGAAGAUGUUGAAUGAGUUUGAUGAGGCUAACACUAACGUUGUAUGUUGUCCUAGUUGGGAAGACAAGAUUCUUGUUGUGGAUUGUGGUGUAAAGGAGCCCAGUGUUGCAAAUAUUAAGCUGUUUUGGUUCAGCUGGUUAUGCAAGCUAUGUGUUUAAGCUUGGUUAUCUUGAGCUAAGCUUCGACCCAGCGGAUCAUGCUUGGCUUGUGACGUAUGUGAACAAACUGAAUCUGCAGCUGAGCUGAGCUUGUUUGUGCUUCGCAAAUGGCCAAAUUUUCAAUUGCUGCUGCUUUAUUGGUCGACCUCAGGAGUGGAGUUUGAGCUAGGCUUCAUUAUUUAAACUAAAAUGAGCAUGUCUGUGAUCAGAUCUCGUCUUCGUUUUCAUUUUUAUAGCCCCAGUAGCCAAACAAGAUGAAGUUCUUGUAUUUUGUCAGAACACUGCUCCCCAUGUAUUUUGUAAAUGUAUCCUUCAAUUGUUCACCUUCUGAAUAUUUUGAGGGAUUUAAGGAAAUUGCGUGUUAAUGUAGAGAGACUGCUGAAACGCUCGUGCCCGUCAUGUGUAUAAAUGGAAGUGUGGGUUCUAAUUAUAUGCAUUUAAAUGAAAUUAUUAGCAUGAUACUAGCAUGAGAAGAUUGACAUGGAAAUGAGUUCAUUAUGUUUUGACAGAAAAUGUGAUAAAAAUGUUUUACUAAUAACUUGCAACAUGUUGUAGGAGAAGUGCUAAUAAAGUCAAAAUUUGUGAUUAUGCAUUGAAAUCUGGUGUAUUUUACCUCUGGCUGAACUUGGUCGACGUAACAUUUGAAUAUCUCUAGCAUUAAUCAAAUUGGAAUCUGAAUUGAUCAAGUUCGGCUGGAGGUGAUUUAAGGUCAAAAUGUUUUAGGAUGUGAGCUUCCAGUAUAUUUUUUGAUGAGGCUAAAUUCAACGUGGUAUACUCCUCUGUUCAGGAAGCCAAGAUUUUUGUUGCAGAUGGAGCUGCAAGCAAGCUGAGGCCCUGCAAAUUUUGCAGAGAAAUAACGAGCAAGGCAAAAUAUGGAGGAUGCCCUGAUUUAUUGCCAUGUCAGGCAUGCGCGUGCAUAUUGUUUUAGAAAAAUGUAAUGAUAUACGUAUAUGAUUUAAAGUAUUUGCAUGACAUUAACAUUUUGAACAGAUGAAAAAUAAAUAGCAUAAGUCCAUUACAUUGUCAUAAAUAAUCUGACAAAGAACAUUUUAUUAACAGCUUCCAAAAUGUUGUUGAAAAAUCUUUACUACUUUCGAAAUCUCUCACCNNNNNNNNNNNAUAUGAUGUCCCAGUAGUUAAGCUUGGCUGCAACAGAUGGAAGAUUAGAAUAGCUUGAUUGGCUUCAGAAUUAAAUGAAACUUGAAUCCAUACUGAUCGCAUUCAACUUGACAUUGUUCAAGGUCCAAAACGCUUAGGAUUCCUCUACGUGGAGUUCGUAAAAUGAUCGUAGUGUUGCCAUCCUCGUGAGACUAGCUCAUUUUUUUUUCUUUGAACCAAACAUAAGGGAAUGCUCCUCUUGAUACCAAAAAUGGAUCGGUUAAAAUCCUAGUGGUUCUAAGCAUGCAGAAUAGGUGAUUAUCUAUCUGAUAAAUUGGCAAAUGAGACAUUAUACCGAUCGCUGUAUAAUAUUGCAGAGUUUCAAAUAUUUAAUGAGAAGGGAUUGCUUGCUUCAACUGCACCCGGAUGAUAAUGCUGAAAGUAAUUAGAGAGCUACGAAAACAGAGUAACUAUCGAUAAUGAUUGAUCCUAAUGGCUCAUUCAGGAAAUGCCUCCAAGUUCUCAACCCAGUGUGAGGAUGAUUCAGGCUUUAAACUAAGAUUGAAGUUAUAUUUGGUUUAGGAGCAAACUGAUGCAAUUCAGGAUGGGUCCAAGAAUAGUUUUGGCAUAGUUGGGUGUGGAUUAGUCUGAUUUAACUGUGGUGCGACAUAGAGUCGUAGAUAUGCUCCUUAUCCAUAACCCUUCCUCCUCUCCAUCAGAUGUUGCUCUUCAUCUCUUUUAUUAGCCAAAUUAGAUUUCCUUUUUUUUUGUUGGUGGGGGGACCAAUGAUUGCAUGAGGGAAUCUUCCAUGCUCCAAAAUUGGAGCCGUACAAGGCAAGGCAAGGGAACUAGAUUUGGAUGGUAAGCCACCAUCCAAAGGAUGCAAAAAGAAGAAAAAGACGAAUUAGUGAUGCUCAGAGAUGCAAAAUGGGAAUGGCUUUGGGAGGAAUCCCUCAAAAAUAGAUACUGUAAGCCAACAGCUGAAUAGCCUCUCCUUGCUCUUGAAAGAGGUCCAAUUUUCAAAUCCUAUGAUGGCUCAUCACUAUGAUAUUUCCUAGAAAUGUUGAGCAAAGAAGGAUAGAAAGUAGGAUGAAAACUGUUAGAAAAAUAUAUCAAAAAGUGUAUUCUCAUUCCACAGAAGAAGGAUUAUCUAAACCUUCUCAUCUCUGCUAUUUCCCACCAAACAUUUCAAAUGAUAUAAAUUAUAACUGCAGCAUUUUCCACUUUUCUGCAUCAGCAUGCCAAAUUUUUGGAAUCUUAUAAAUAAUAAUCUGCAGCAUUUUCCAGUUUCCCACAAUAUUAGCAUGCAACAUAUCUAUGAUCACAAAGAGGGAAGGAUGCACUUAAUGCCAACCCGUCCAUGGAAUUUAUUAUAUGAGAUAAUACGUUCCGUGCCUACAAAAAUCCUGCAUGCUGCAAGUCUAGUACCACAAGUCUUGGCUGCAAUCAACAUUGCAGCAUUAACUGCUCAUGGGAAAACAUUAUAUCACUUAUUCCUAGAAGCUCCAUAUGGACUUAUCGCAUUUUGCAAGAAUAGAGCUAGUAAAGCAGAAAGCUCACCAACACCAAGACUCAAUAACAUGCAAUUACGGGUUGUUGCUGGUCUCAUUGUUGGUGCUGUUAUUGUUGUUCACAUCCUCAGAAGCAGCAUUACCACCAUCUAUGCCCAAAAACGAGAACCAGUGAUCAGCAGGACCUUUUUAAAUAACAGGAAAGAGAAAAGGAGGAAAAAAAUCAGAUUUAGUGAUAAAACAAUGACAUAUACACUGAUACCUUCAUUCUCCGUAGAUGCAUAGACUGAGCGGGAACGAACUUGUUGUUGAGGUGUAGGCUAUAAAAUCAGCAAAACAAUUAUAUGCAUUAUAAUGAUAGAUGCAUUGCCUGUUUUUCAUAUAUAUAACAACAGUGUAUGCAUAUAUGAACAAGUGGUUGUUUGAUGCAUGUUUGCAUUCCUCAAGGGGAUGGAGGAAGUGCGGCUCAAAAAUAUGAUGCAUUCACCUAUGUGAAUUUUUAGGGACAAAUCACAAGGGACAAUUUUAAAAAUCACAUCAUAGUACACAUGAAUGUCAAAUAGGAUAAGAGAAGGCAAAACGUGGGUACCUGCAAUUUAGGCCGAAGUGCCUCAAGGGGUCCUUUAGGCUUGUGAGGUUGCCCUCCUUGCUACCAGUAUCAAUGGAAAAAAAAUCAGAGUUAAAAAUAAACAAUAAAAUAGGCCUAGAAGAUUCAUGGCUAACAACAAACUGAGUAGAAAAAAACAGUGUAUCUGCAAAGUUCAACACAUAUUGUACCUUUCCUAAAGCCCAAUCAGCAGAAUCAAAGUAAGCACGUUCAUGGUCCUGGAGAAGUUAAUUCUCUGUGAUGUUAUUCCUUAUUGUACAGGAAAAGGAAUUAUUUGUCUUUUCCUAAUUUUAUGCAACUAUAUUACAUGAAGUGAUAAAUGGAUGAUUCUAAAGGAAGAGGGUUCUUACCUUGGAUAUGAGUGGUGGUUUUUUGGGUAAAAUUCCUCCAUAUUUCUUCUUUAUUGUUUCCUCCUGCAAAUAGGCAGUCAUGUAAUUAACCAUAUGGGUCUAACUUACAUCCAUACAACACAGAGCAUAGCUCAAACCACUUUAUCAAGGUCACACAAAAACCCAGAUAUAUUCAGAAGCAAUGCAUGUAACAUAUCAAGUAUCAGAGCCAACUGCUUGGAAAAUAAUGGAGUAAAGAGAAAAGCAUAAUAGCACCUCGUCUUGGGAUGACGGCAUGGCAUUCCCCUCAUUUUGGUCCAAAAUUUCAGGGUCCAUGGCGGAAGCAUCAUCAUCAACCAUCUCUUUGACACUGCUAUCUGUACAUAACUGCUCAUUGGCUUCAGCAGCCUUCAUGUCUGACAUAGUGUGCUCAAACAAGUCUUUGACAGACAAGCUGUAAUUGAAAAUGUUUGACAACAUGUCUCAUAAAUUCUAAACUUAAGAGAACUGUCAAAUUUAUUCUAAAAUGAACAAUUCUCUAUAAUCUUUCUGGUGAUCGACCAGAAAUGAAGACUUUGCAAAUGGAAGGACAUGUCUGUAAAGAAAAGCUAUCAUAAAAGAUGCCUAAAACAAGCCAGAAGACUCUGAUUUGAGCAAAUAGCAGGAUGACUCGGAGCCAUACAACAAAAGAAGAAAAUUGCAAAGGACAUUUUUCAGGGUUUCAGAAGCCUAAUCAUGUGUACGGUAACAAUUGCCAUUGCUAAUAUGAGAAUAAACUUCACAUUCAUGGAAAAGGAAUAAGGAAUGAAGAUACAUAUAGAAAAGACUUACUCGUCAAGCUUCAGAAUCUAUGGUUGCACAUCUUCUACUGGUGUACAUUGAUACUUUAAUGCACCCAUGCAAACUGAUCCUUGUUUCUUAAAGUUCAAUGCGAAAUCAUAUCCAUUAAACAAUUAUACUCUCUUCUUUAAACAAUUAUUGUUCUCUCUUUAAUGUCCAAAAUUAUGAUCCACACAGGAUAGCAGGUUUCCCGUAAGUUCUUCUAGCAUUCCUUUGAUGUAUCGAUUGACGAUUCUGUAACCCAAACGCUCAACUCAACUUCAUGUUUUAUUUGAACCAAUGCAUCCCUCACCGUUUUUUCUGUUAAAAGGCGGAAAGGCGAUGAAAAAACACUUGUUUGGCGAUCUUUCCUUCAAUUCUAACCAAAUCUACAAUUUUAAAAAGGAAUCCUAUUAUAGUCCAACCACUUUCUGAAACCCAUAAUUCCAAAUAACAUUAACAACUUCAGCACACUCAUCAACCAACAUUGCUUCAAUGAAUAACAAGCACCAAGGAACCUUGGAGGUGUUAAAGAGGAAAACUUAUUAACAUUGUCAUUUAAGGACAAUAUAACAUUACAUGACAUUGAAGCAUCCUUGGAGGUGAAAAAAAAAACUGAAAGUCCUGCAUCCUAUCUACUGCAACCAGAAUCUGCAUUCAUCUAUCCUGGCAUUCUUCCCAGAUAGUAAUGCAUUACAUCACUCUAUCUUCUGGUCCCUUCUAUUUUCAUCAUAUGGAAUUGUAUUUAAACUUGACUCCCUUUGCCCUAUAAUAUGUGUUUCAAAGAAAACACAAUUCACUAUGUCAGGACUUCAAACCUAUCUUCUUCACCCAGACCUGUUCAAUGUUGAGAAAAUUUCAAAGGCUUGCUCACUUGUUGCAUAAGUUCGACAACAAUCAUCCUACCAAUGAUUGGCAUUUAGGUUUCAUGGAAAGGCACUCAUUUGCCAGAAGUUUUAUGAGCUAGGAAUUCGGCAUCCAUUAUUAGAGGGUUGACAUCUAGUUGACAGCUAAUCAAAAAUAUUUGCUCACUGUUUGAAUGGUAUCUCCUUGACUUAAGAGUUGUCUUUAUUGUUGAUCCCCAAAUUUUGAGAAAAGGCUGGAAUGGUGAUGAUGAUUAUUGUGCCUAGCAGUGGAAGCAUGGUUUUGGAACCAUACAUGCACCAAAUAACAGUUAACAUGCGUAAGGCAUUGUUUUAUUCUCCAAAUUUCUUGGAUAUUUAUGGGAAGGAUAUAAGAAGCAAAGAAGAGGGAGGUCGCAAGAGAUUUCUUUUUUCCCUUCUCUUUUCAGAAAUCAAAGCACAUGGAGUUGACACAAGUAGAUGCACAUAUACAUACAUAUGUACAUAUAAUAUAUAAAUAGAUGAAUGUAGUAUGUAGGUUUGUAUGUAUGUAUAGAUGGAUGCAUAAAAAGAUGAAUAGAUGUCAUAACCAAAUGUCUAGUUUUUAUAUUUCAUACCAACUUUUUUGAGUCUCUUUCGACCCUCAAGUACCACAUUCUUUGUUAGCAGUAAGUUGUCUAAAAUACUGUCCCAUCAUUUACCACCCAAUAGAUAUAUCUUUAUAUUUAUCCUCCAGUUAGACCCUUUAAGCAUUGUUCUUCUAAAUGGAGCUAUCUUUGAGCUUGAUCAGACCUGAUUCUUCACUCCAACACGAUCUUGAGACUAAUUCAAUUAAUGAGAAAUAUAAAUUGAAGGCAAAAAUGAAAAGUACGAAGGCAAGGAGGAGGAGGAGGAAGAGGAGAAAGAAACUUAGUGAUGGGAGGUAAUAUUUCCUAGUUCAGGUUUUACUGAUAGGAUAGUGCAAAUCAAGGUACUACAAUUUCCUAGUUCAUGUUUUAUCGAUAAGAUAGUGCAUAUCAAAGUACUAUCAUUUUCUUGGUUCAGGUUUUAACAACACGAUAGUGGAAAGCAAAGUACUGAUAGACUUAUAUAAAGUAGAUGGGGCCAUUAGGUUCGAUUUAAAUUUUUUAUUACAAUUUUCUGCUUUAGGUUCCCCCAUAGGAUAAUGCAGUCAAAUGAACUCUGAAUACUAGACAAAACAAUUAGACUGGAUCAAGUGGGAAUGCUCUGAGACCAAUCAAUUCUUUUAGGCUCAUGUUUGACCUAAAAGUUAUACAAAAACCAUCUGGACCAAAUAGUCCGCUGACCAAAGCACUCAGAUCAAACACAUCGCCAUACUUUGAGCAAAGCAUCACAGUCACUGGGGACAAAAAUUAUUUUAAAAAGAAUUAUAUGGCUCUGUCCAGCAGGAAAGAUUGAAAAAGGUUUCCAUUAGUCGGAGCAAGCUGGAUGUAAGGAAAGAAAGAGGGAAAGCUAACGUAUGGGCAUAAAUUUACAUUAAGAUAAUCUGAUUUCGGAUCAUGGUUACGAAAAAGAAGUGAAAAUUUUAAGAAUGUGAAAUUUGAUUGAGUCAACAAUCAAGAGGAGGUAGGUACUACAUGAAAUAGACUACCACCAUAGAAAAUUAUUACUUCUAAUGGCAAUAGAUGCCCUUGGGACAGAACAAGAACAAAGAUGCUAUGAGGCUUUUUUGCUUGGUCACCUUGUGAAUUCCUUAUGCCAUUCUGACUCUAGAAUGGAAUGUCAUGAUUACAACCACCCCCUCACAAAUCACACUGACCACCGUAAGUCGCACCAAUCCCCUCAUGCCAUGUUAGCACAGAAAAGUAAUAGGUGAUUUGUGCAGAGCCCCAUAGCCUUACUUUAAGAACAAUGUCUUUGUUAUAUUAGUAGCAUAUCAAUGUUCAAUUGGAGGUUCAAAUUCGACACCAAGAGAUUUGACUUCCUAAAGUUUUCUACAGCAGCCUAUGCUUCAUCAUAUGAGUUACUCAUGGUCCUUAUAUCCUAAAAGGAGCAAUUUCAAAUCUAGCAUCUAUGCUUCAAGAAAAAAUAAAUAAACCAUUCAUUCGGUGACAAAAGAGGAACUAGUGCAUUCAUGGGUGGAUUAGUGAUUGAGAUAGAGAGAUCAUGAGUUAUUUUGAGGGAGCAAUUUAGAAAGAUAUUUGAUAACCGUAGUCAUUGAUUAAUAAAGGGAAAAAACUUCAGAAGUUAAUUACAGGGUUCGAUCAUCUAAACGGAUGCCCUGGGCGCAUCCUUUAACAUUUUUUCUUGCUUUCCAAAUUUUAUUCGAAACUUCAACAUAUGAAACUUAUGGAAAGAAAAAAAAAGAAAAAAAAGCCAAUCAAAUUUAGCAUAGCAACCUAAAACACAUCUUCUUGUAUUUGGAUCAAAGCAUUAAUGUCUUGAAUUUUUUUUACAAAGUAUAGAAUGAAAAUCAGAGAAAUGUCAACUCAUAAAACAAGAAAAAUAAGAUGAAGAAAGAGAAAAGACAAUAAAAUAUCUUUCUUCCUAAAAAUAUAUAGAUCUACGAACCUUUAACUUUGUGCAACCUUUUUACUUCUUAAAAAUUUUCUGAAAUAGCCAGGAAAAUAUUCUGAAAGAAUAUGUUUAAUUCGAUAAAAGAGACAUAUUUAGCCCCAGCUGGUACUCUAGUUGCAUCAACACUCUUGAGCAAAUCUCAUUGACGAUCACCAACUUCAUGCACUAUUGCUAUAUUUUUAAGAUCUAACAGUGGGGACCAACAUUAAGCCUGCAAUAAAUUAAAUUGUCGGACUUUGCUGCCCGUUGAUUCACUAUUUUCUUAAUGUGUUUGAUUCACCAUUGGAUGAAGAUAAUUAAUCCAACUGAUCAGAAAUGCAAAAUCCAUCUUGCAGAAUGACCAUAAUUAACAUUGUAGCCCCUUCAUGAACCAUUUGGUAUGAUGAAUAAUAUUCAAGAAUCUCUUCAUCCUCCAUCAUGGGAUCCUUGUGAGUCUAGAUUAUAUUUUUGGCUCUUCGCACUUGGACCUCAUAGAUUUACAAUUGGAUCCUGGUCACUACACGCCUUAUUUGUUAACUAAGAUUUCAAGGAACAGUCCUUAUUCAAAUCUUUAAAAGUUGAAGAUACAAGUUUACAAAGAAACUACUAAAACACAAGAUCUUUCCUAAAUUCAUCCAUAAGCUCUAGUUACUUUAAAAGUUAGUUUGCUGAGUGAUCACUUAAAGCAAAAUUAUUCAUCUUUUGAUCCACCCUAUGGAAAUCACCAUAAGAUGACAGGAUUUAUAAGCCAUAUCUUCACAAAAUUGUGAAACUUUUCAUUUAAACAGCAAUAUCGUUUCAAGGCCAGAUAAUGUAGGACAAAAAUGAGAGAACAUGGAUUUCCAUCAAUUUUCCACCACAUUUUCAAGAAGCAAUGGCCUUCAAAAUCAAUAUGACCAACCUAUGAGAUUCACAGAUUUUCCCCAUUUGAAAAGCCAUCCUAAUCAUCUGAUUGUUUUCUAUGGCCAUAGAAUGUGGCAUUCAUUGCUUAAUAAGGUCAAAAAAAAAGAAUUAAAAAAGGAUAAUCUAUGAUUUUUUUUGAUAGAUCUACGAGUUCUAAACAACCAACUUUAUCCCAUGACUCAUGUCGAGUGUUUGUUAGGUCAAGCACACAUUGAACAGUUGUAAAGCAUUCCUAAUGAUCUAAUUGAUAGUCCAUUAUAUUGGCUCAACCUCAUUGAUGGGUACAAAAGAAACACCGAAUCACCAACAAAAAAUCUAUCUAUUUUUUUUUCUUCACGAGAUAACAUCACAGAUUUUAAAUUACUCUUAAAAUGGAUAAAAGGAAAAAAAUUAAAGAAAAAAAAACCUUGAAGAACCCGUGAUGGGAGGAAGCUGAACAGGACUUUCUCUUAAAUAAAACGAAUCGGAAAAAAUAAUAAAAAAUUAACCACUAACAAAAUACAAGGAUGCAAUGUACAGAAGAUCUGAAUCCUAAAUGGAGCAAAAAAAAAAUCAGCAUAAACGCCCAUAAAAAAGAUGAAAAGAGUUCAGAUUUUACCUCCGACGAGAGAACAAUCGGCUUCCAAGAAGAAGACAGGGAGAGAGAGUAGCGGAUGAAAACGGGGUAGAAGAAGAAGGGAGAUUUUUUAUUUAUUCUCCCCCUUUUUUUUUCCAAGAUAGCGUGAGCCUUGCGGGCGUCCAAGAUUCCCCAGCGCCAAGAUCCCAAACAAUGAUGGCGAUGCGAAAACAAACAUAACGUGCCGAUCCCAUCGGCCUAAGGCUGCAAAUGGGUCGGGUCGACCCGUGACCCGACCCGACCCAAAUUUUAGGAUCCGUGGAUCCGGAUCUGGUCUUAAAAUUUGAUCCGAACCAUUUUUUUGGGUCGGACCUAAUCUGAACCCGACCCGACCCGACCCGACCCAUAAUUUUUUUUGGAUCUAUUUCGGGUUCACUGGAUCCUGACCCGAUCCAAUCCGACCCAUAAUUUUUUUGGAUCUAUUUCGGGUUCACUUGAUCCCGACCCGAAGACCCGACCCGAACCCGAAAUGGAGUGGGAUCAAUUGAAAGCACAGCGCUAGCCUUAAUUUCUUCCCCCUUGGAGGUGUAGGCUCUCGAGAUAGAACUCGGGGAGCACUGCCCUUGCGACGAGGUUCAUGUCCCCUAAGGCCACAAAGGUGAUAAAGACCAUGACUCUCAUACUCAUAUCCCCAUGGUGGCCCAAGGUCCAGAGAAAUGGGAAGGAGAGGAGGAGGAGGAAAGCCCUGAAGAUGCUUCCACCUUCGAAGGCCACCAGCAUGAAGUAAGGGAAGAGAGAAGAAGAUUGGAGAAGAAUGCCUUGGAAGUCACAAACUAUACUCUGGGCCUCCCUCCCCUCUAAGGAACACUUGGUCACGCUGGAGUAAAGGGAGGAAACUUGGUGCAAUCUAGAGGGGUUUCUGUGGAGGAAACCAUAGUUCCUGAACUUCUUAGCUGCCCUGUAAAAUGUGAACAGCCAGCGUGCUGCUAUCUUUAACAGAACCAUGGGAACAACCAUUGCCACCGCUUCUUCUCACCCCUUCUCUCUCCUUAUCUAUCCCACCUCUCCGUUGUUCUCCUUCCAAAACUUAAUCCAAUGGUUUAUAGUAUGAGCUGGCUCGCGGGGAGAGAUCGUAGUUAUGUUGUGGAAAGUGUACAAAGGUGCCGAGCCCAUAUGACAAUAAAGGAAUGGAGAGGCCGGUGGGUGAGACGCGCGGUUGAGGCCAUCUGGUUCUGUGCACCGCUGGCAUUAAUGGCGGCACCAAGGCACCAAACCAGGGUUUCUAGAGCAUCGUAGCUCGUGGCAGGGCCAGCGUCAUUAGGGUUUCGGAACCUCCUCGGGAAGCGUGUCCGGUCCACGUCGAGUCGACAUCUACAGCCAUAUUAAAUGGCUCUUCGAUUCAUCUUUACCGUGGCAUAUGGAAAAGAAAUCCUUUUAGACCGGGGCCAUGCCGAUCUAGCUUCGAGUUCCAAUUCCAUGGGUUUGAAAUGAAAUUAUUACAGGAUACAAGGUCCCUGCUACUAAAUGUCUUCCUGCUAGUUGUUGCUGCCGUUUGCCUUUUUUUUUUUUGAACCGAUACUCCUCCAUGGGAAUUGGGAAAGGGCGCUUGGGCAGAUGCAAUGCAGGGAAGGUGAUCGAAGCUAGCUAGUGGGACUUGGCUGCUUUGCUCCGUUGAUGCUUAAUUACUAGAUGUUCCUAUAUGAAAUAUUAUUCCAUGGAUAUCUAUGAUUACAUGCUAUCAUAUAAAUAUACAUCAAGUGCUCCUCUGAAUGAAAGUCAAUAUGGUAACAGAUACCAACUAUUAGUGACAAAAAUGUCNNNNNNNNNNNNNNNNNNNNNNNNNNNNNNNNNNNNNNNNNNNNNNNNCCAACACGGAUUCAGUCUUCUUCCGCAUUGCAUUUCAACUUCAUGGGAAGUAUACAUUAUUUUAUAAUUUUUAAAUCAUUUUUAGUAUUUUAUAUAUGCAAAGAGACGGAAUAUACUUCUCUGUGAAGAAAAAGGUAUACACUUUUUUCGAUUUAAAAAUCAAUAAUAAAAUAUAUAAAUCAAAUAUUUAUAUUAUUAAUCGUGAACUAUAAUACUAAAAUUAUCUAAAAACUAAAAAUAAUAUAUUCUGAUAGCCUUUAGUCUAUGUACCAGCUUAUUAAUUAUGAUCUACGUAUUUUAAAAUAUUCGUAGAUUGAAAAAUCGAUAGAUUUAGUACUUAGAUUAUAAUAAUAUAUAGUUUGAUAUCAUUUUAAAUAUUUAUUUUUUCACUCGUGAUGCGUUGGUUAGAGAUAUCAAAAUAUAUGAUUUUUAGUUGUAGACAUAUCAUCGGUAUAGAUCAUGAUUAAUGAUAUGGAUCAUUCGAUUUAAAUGUAUCAUAAUUGAUUUUUGAAUCAACAGAAGGAAGAUACUUGUAUGACCGGGUUGCAUCUCGAUCAUUGGUAGAGAAUUGCCGCAAGAUGAAAUGCUUGAUUAGCUGUGGUGUAAGAUUAGAUUAGAUUGCUAGAUUAGAGUUGUGUGAUCAUCGCUCAGCAUUUUGUUUGUGUAUGACUCUGGGUUCUACCUCCCUGGAUUACGAUAACCCUAUUAAGGGCUUCUGUCUAUGCAAAGGUAAGCUACACAUGAAAAAAUAGUGAAGAGAAACUAAAAGAGGAAUUGGUGUUAGUAUCCAUUCUAUAAGUGAGCAUAAGUUAAGAAUUAAAAGAAGAGACUAACCUGGCUAGUGUUGGUGGGGAAAGAAGAAAGGCAAAGGAUCUCACCCUCUAUUUAUUUAUUUAUUUAUUUUUAGCCGGCGCCUCAUACUACACGAGUACGGAUGCAUCUAAUAAAACUAGAAAACAAAACAUUGCGGAGAGCUCUAGACAGCUAGCUUUUCCUCCUGCAUCCACAGAGUACCGCCUGAGUGACUAGCCACAUAAGAGGCCACCUAAUCGGCAGCCCCAUUAGCCUUUCUAUAGACAUGCUUAGCGAGGAAGAUCUUCUCGUCACUAUCCAUCACCCAAAUAUUAUGGAGUAUGAGAUGGUCCUACCCCACCACCUACGGACCCUCCUGAAUCCAUCCUAUAAUAGUAGUUGAGUCACCUUCUAUAAUAAUGAAGCCAGCCUGCAACAGUUGGUGUGCAUAUCUAAAGUCCUCCCAUGCAGUCCUCAGCUUAGCAAUGGGACCGACGUCUCUCACUCUUCCUUUCAUCUCUAUAAAUGAGAACUAGACUUCUCGUGAAGCAAAAAUAUGGCAUUUCAAGAUGAAAUAAUAGGGAUACAAAAAUUUAAAAUACUAAAAUAAUCUAAGAAAGAGAAAAGGCCAGCAUGGAGCCUCUCUAUCGGAAACUCAGAUUAACAAUUUUUUUAUUUAACCCUAUCUGGAGUCCAGCUGGCCCUUGCCCUAAGUGAGACUCUUGGGGCCUGAAGAGUGGGUCUACAAAAUGGUGCUUGGGGCUGACACACUUCAAUAUCUCUUCAAUAUCUGAUGCGGAAUAAAAGAAGAGUAUAAAUAUGAUAGGAUAAUUUUCAGAACUCAAAGAAGCUCCACAAACUACUUCGACUCAUCCUUGGCAUCUCUGGUUCGAACAAGGGGCAAUUUGACCGCAGGCUCGUAAGGGGAAGAGAAUGCUUUUUGUGAGAUCAAAAUUGAAAUAUUUCAAAAUGCGAAAAGACUUGUCGAAAAGAUUCAAGUCUGAAAUAUUGGGAUAGAAGAAAAUAAAAGAUUGAAAAUCAUGAAAUCCAAAAACAAGAAAAGGAAAAAAUAAGAAAGAAAGAGACAACAUUUUGAAAGCUCGCAGCAGAUCGAAUUUUUUUGAUCGAGAAUCUAUGAGAACAAGUCCAUCUUUUCAAGUAUUCUUAGACGUGUUGAUGAAUGAUGGCCAUACAACUCUUCCGGCUUUUUCCAAGGCAUUGUUCGAUUUUUUUGUUAGAGGGGACUCUAAAUGUUUUUGAUUAUCCUUGAUUAGAUUUAUUUAUUUAUUUAUUUAUUUAUUUAUUUAUUUUUGGACGGAUAUAUCUUAGGAAUUAGCAAAGCGAGCUUCUAUCUUGUCCCCUUCGUUCUUCUAGCUUUAAGUUUGCCCACGAUUUACUUGAUUUGCUCUUGAGAUAAUCAGUCAUCUUAUUUUCAGAGCUAACGUGUUGCCUAAAACUGAUCAUUGGCCGAAUUUGAAUAUAAAAAUAUCAAAUUUUAUACUAACUUAUUUUAAAAUUUAAUUAAAAAUAAAUAAAAUUUAGAUCUAGGGCCGGUCCUCAACGCUAGUGCUACCGUCAAAAAAAACGUAAGCAAGCUGUCCAAAAGAAGAAUUUAGCUAAUUAUAUUACACAAGAUGUAGAUGCAUAUGCUAUUUAUGCAUUCCGCAUGCACAACAGUGGAGUGUGCUUCAAAUAAAAAAAGAGAAAAUUAAUAAAGUAGAAGUAUAUACGGGUCGGGGUAUAGAAAUACCUGCGGUCACAUCGAAACCUCCGAAUUCGAAUCCUAUAUAUUUGUCGAGAAAAUGAGAUGAUAUCAUUUUUUUCCCUCGAAGUUAACGUUACAUACCUCUGGAUUCAUGCUGGUAAGUGGUCUUAAAGACUAGCAGCCGAGAGGUCACCUCAUGGCCUAGCAAAAGGCAAGCUGUGAUUGGACGUGCAUGAGGCCUUAGACCGUAAAGGCAAUCGAAUGUUAAAUCAGAUAAUAAAUUUGAGCAGCUGGAAGACGUCACGCUUGUAAUCCCUACGAAUUGAGGUACGUAAAGAAAUGCCUUGGACCAUGGGAGCGAGGUCCUUCAUUUUUUGAUGAUUUCUUCUUUCUUGAUUACUUUCAAUAUAAGCUCAGUUUCUGAGAAAAAUAAGAUGAUUGUCAACCUGAUAGAAGAUAGCAAUCCAAUUCUUUAUUGUCUGUGACCACUUUUAAUUUUCUGUUGGGCACUAGAUUAUGACCCUCAAUGGGCGUGGUUUGCAAAAUUAACUAAAAUGCCCAAGAACGGGUAAGUAGCACGGGAAUCAUCAAGGGAUGAAAUAUUCAUAUCAAGUUAUAAUUUAUAAUGUCUCAAAUUUCCACAAAUGUAUAAAAAUAUUAGUUGUAAAAGAUUAUUGCAUUGAUAGUCGUACAAAUUAUAAUUGCAAGAAGUAACACAAUACAUGUGCAACGAGUUGAAUUGGCUUUCAUGGAACGGAUAUGAAAUGGUUAUGGUGGUGACUGCACAAGUUUGUGUGCAUGAGUUAGAUAUAUUUAAUAAAAUAUAGGAGAUUAUUGUAAUAUAUGUCGCAAAAUUUUACCAAAAUUUAUUUCUCGAACUUGUUGCAGCCUGGAUGCAUGGGCAUGCACGCUGCUAUGAUUGAUUUAUAGCAGGCACCAGCAGUGUGGUUGGAAGCCAACUCCAUACAUAAGUGUAACUCCAGGGACGGAUUGCUAAUUUUUCUCUGGGCAGUUUAUUGAAGAUGCCAUUACUGAAAGACAUCUUCAAAUGGAAAUUAAACCUGCAAAAGUUCAUAGUAUCCCACAUAUAUCCUGAAGCCAACAAUGCUGCUGAUUUCAUCUCCAAAACUGGCACUACGAAUUAAGGGCCUGCUAAAGAUGUUAUUCACUGAGGUCUAUAUUCCAUUUUGCAGGUUGAUGCUGAUGGUACAACCUACAUAUAGGAGAAAAUAGAUGACAGCGGCUGGGAAGGUAUUUGCUCUUACAGGCUGACAGAUUAUCUGUUUGUGCUUCAGACAGGGUGCUUCAACAGCGGAUCUACAUUUUCUGAAAUCUUAUAUAAUGGAUCUGCUUGGUUACAAUACGUAUCACCUGGGGUGCAGCAAUAGCUUCAACUGAAGAUCUCUGUUGGAAGGAGUAUCAUAGCCUGAAUCGUUGCAAUUUCUGGUGGUUUACCUGUAUUAAUUCUGUAUGCAUAGUAGUAGAGAAGUUACAGACUUCUGUUAGGAUUCUAGUUACUAGGUUUGGGUUGUAAGAGAUUGUGAACUGUUAUGUACACUAUAUGUUAAUGGAGAGCUUUUAGCUCCUCCUGUUACCAAAAAGAAAACCAGUUUAUAUACUGCCAGCAAUGUUUCACGGGAAGGAAAAACGACUAAUUUUAAGCGGUAGUGUUAGAAUUCUAGCUUUAUUAAACAUAUCAGAUGCAUUGAUGAGCAUUAAAAAAGAAAGUUGUGGAGGAUAAAAUCCUUGAGAUCACAAGGAAGAAAGCUGAAAUCGUCAACAAUCACGAACAUUUUCUAUUGUCUUUCAACAAACACUGGCUACAAACCUUCUCGCUAUUAGUUGGGCCAUUGGUUNNNNNNNNNNNNNNNNNNNNNNNNNNNNNNNNNNNNNNNNNNNNNNNNNNNNNNNNNNNNNNNNNNNNNNNNNNNNNNNNNNNNNNNNNNNNNNNNNNNNNNNNNNNNNNNNNNNNNNNNNNNNNNNNNNNNNNNNNNNNNNNNNNNNNNNNNNNNNNNNNNNNNNNNNNNNNNNNNNNNNNNNNNNNNNNNNNNNNNNNNNNNNNNNNNNNNNNNNNNNNNNNNNNNNNNNNNNNNNNNNNNNNNNNNNNNNNNNNNNNNNNNNNNNNNNNNNNNNNNNNNNNNNNNNNNNNNAUAUAUAUUGCUAAGACGGACGAAUACGAAUACGAAUACACCUAAUAAAAUCAAAAACAGAAUAUCUUGAAGUGCCAGAGGCAGCUCUCCAUUCCAACCCAUAGAGUACUACCCGUAUGGCUAGCCACAUACGGGUAGUAUGUGCAUUGUAAUUUUUGUUCCUUUGCAUGUAAGAUAAGUAUCCUGCAACAUAGAAAUAUUACUACCAUCAAUUCACAUGAUUAAGAAAGACAUCUGACCGCAAUGUGCAUUGGUCUGUCUUGGGACAUAGCCAUAGCAUAUAAGAGUUGAAGCAACUGUCGACGGUACUUCUCAAUUGGGAAAUGAGGAGAAGCAAUCAUUUGGCCAGGACAUUGGAAUCUUCUAAAAAUGUAUAUUUCAGAUAAACUUAGUAAGAUUAUGGAGCAAUCUCAUCCAGAAAUCUCAACAUCAUGAGAUCAUGGAGCUUGCUCAGGCUGUAGUGACUGCUUGAGUGCCAUAGCGCACACCAUAUAUGACGACACUAGUUGUUUAAGAGGACUACAGCAGCCACUGCUCACCUAGUUCUAUAUUCAUAUGUUUAGCAUGAAGGGAUGUGCAGUAGAUAACUGACAUGACAUCAUUUGAAACGUUAAUGAUAACAGAAAAGGUUUGUAGUACAUUGGAAUCAGGUGUCUCCAUCAAUAUGGAGCAAAUUCCGCUCAUGUCGGCCAACAAUUUCAAAAUAGAACAUCUGCAAUCAGUAAAUGAAUCAGGCUAUGAAUCAGCAAAUGAAUCAGGCUAAGUAGCAAAUGGAACCUGUUCAAUUUCUUACAAGAAUAAAAAUGAAUUGAAUUUCUAGUAAAUAUCAAGCCAACUAAACCCUGGGAGUCAGCUGGGACUAUGCAGUACAUGUAUCGGCAACAGAAACCUCCAGGGUUUCCAUCUUUUUGCGUGAUGCUGCUGGACCUGACUGUUAACAUGGUGAGCCAUCUGUUCAUCUCCAUGCGUCUUUUUUUUUUUUUGAGUACUUGAAGGAAUUAUUCUCAUUCUACCUGGCUGGAACAUAGCUCCCCAGUCUUUAACACGACAGUUUCUUCAGAAGAUUGGGGCCAGAGAGGUGACAAGGCCACCACCCUGCCAAUAAUUAUUAGAGUUGGGGACGCCAAGUCUGCUAAUUUAACCUCAUAGACAAUGUCCUUAAGUUCUGCAAAUACCUGCAUCAAAGGAAGUUACGACUCGAAUUUGAAAAACAAGGGUUGAGAAGAAAAGUUAAAGCUCAAGGAGAUCAUCUGCUGGUUGGUCAUCUGCUAAACUUCAGUCCUCAGGGAUUACUUGAUGAUUCUACAUUUAGUUUUCUCGCAUGCUUUGGUAGAAAUUUUAAGAAAUAGCAGUCCAUUGCUGACCAUUCGUUGCUGUGGGGUAGUUCCUCGCUCCACUGCAACAGCUGGAGUGUCCGGUGGCAAGCCAUGAUUCAUCAAUUUUGAAGCAAGAGCUUGGAGGGUUGACAAACCCAUAUAGACAACCAAAGUUGAAUCAGGAUCAGCAGCAUUCUCUGCCACAUAAAGAGGAUCCAUUCCUCCAUUUCUUGAGUGUCCGGUUAAAAAUCUAACGCUGCAGCAAAGAGCAAAGAACAGAGGGUUAAGUAUUUUGAAUACUCAAAACUGGCAUAAAUACCCUUAAAAGCAUGCUUUUUUGUUAUUAAAAAAAACAUUGAUGGGAAAAAAGGCUCUUGCAUAUUGAGUAGUCUAGCACUAGAGUACUUCCUAUUCGCAUUAUUGAGUAGAGUUAUCGAGUAUCAAUAAUACUUCCAGCACUAUAGAACAAUUCAUUUAGGCUCUUUAUUUGCACUAUUGGCACUCUCACACAUAAAAUAUUAUAGUUCCAAAGUAUGUGUAUUGUGAUCAGCAUGUCAUGGAAAGCCUGGAAUUAGAAUUCCUGCAGACUCAGGUAAUCAGAGUUUUUAAAAUUAUUGGAUUGCCAUAAACAGAAAAUAUGAAUCUUAAAAAGCAUUAAAUCUCAUUAGUUAAAUCUUCAAUCAUCUCAACUAUUUUGGAUAAUAGUAGUUCUAAGUCUAGCUCUAAGCAACAAUACAGUCACUCUGUCUUAAGUCUCUGUAAUUUUAUUAAACAUACAACAACACAACUUCUUACUUUAAUUUUGACAUUCCAGUAUAUUUCCAAUAGUUUGGAUCACAAUGAUCAUAGGAUAUGUUGGAGGAAUUGGAAAUAACGGAUCAAAUGCAUCUAUAUGGAUAUUAGGGCCCACAAAGCGCUAUGAUGAGAUUACAGAUGGAAAUUUGACAAGAAGCAAUACUAGGACAGCAUCAAAAUACAUUAAGCAGAGAAUCCAUGCAACAAAGAUAUUUAUUAAAGCUACAAUUGCUCAAAAGGUCCCUACAGAUCUAAAACUCAAUCAUAAGCUAUGAAUUGAAUGAAGCCUAUUGCUAAAGCAUUAGUCAAGACCAGCAGCAGGAUGAGAAAUCCAGUGAUAAAUGGUGAGUCAACAGAUUGAAGAACAAUUGAACCAAUAAAACUACUUCCACCCAAGAAAUGGUAGUGAACCACUGUAAGUUCCACCCAGGAAGCAGGUGUCAGUAAACAGUGCAUACUUGCCUCAAAAACUAAAAGAGCCAGAGAACAAUACUGUUCUCAGAACAAAAAGCUUUUAAUGUUACUAAAGCAAAUUUUACAAUGACUAAGAGAAAGCAAGGCAAGACAAAUCAUGUUACCUAUUUGCAACAUCUCGGUGGGUCAGUGGGAUUCCAAGCUCUGCUGCUAUCCCAGAAGCAGAAGUGAUCCCUGUUUUAUAUGAUGGUGGUCAAUAGAUAUAAGGAUAACUAAUCAUGGAAAACACUUUCAGGUUAACAAGUUGUAUACCUGGAAUGACCUUGACUUGAAUUCCCUGUUUCUGGAGAAAAUCCAUCUCCUCUCCACCUCUGCCAAAGACCUAAAGAGCCAAUAAAAUAUUAUCAAGCAGCAACAGUGAUGAUUCUUUCCUUUUCUUUUCUUUUUUUGGCUAAGCAAUCAUCACAAUCAUCUUUAACCAAAAAAAAGAAAAAGAACCUAUGAAGCACAAACUCAUCUGUAGGAGAGAACCUAAGUAUUAUUUUUCAAGCCUUUAGCAAAUAAUAUCUAUAGGAUGCAGCAUCUCCUUUUGGCCAGACAUGUGAACCUUAAAUUGCAGCUUCACACUGGACUCAGACCCAAUAAACACCUCUGAUCCAAUCUUAGCCAAAAUCUCAUUGAAUUUUUUUGACUGAAACUUUUGUCAGCUAGCUCAAAUAGACAGCAACCUGGCUUUGUGCCAAGCUGCGAAGUUUAAAUAACUUCCUCAUGGAACCAUCUAAUUUAUCUUCUAUCAACUGAGUGAUGUUACUAUAUAAGUAACUUUCAAAUUCAUUAGAAAACAAAUGUAUGGUGAUUGACCAAUGAGUUUGCCUGGCUACAAGCUAAAUCCAGCCUACAUGCUUUUUCUUUGUGUAUCACUUGAUGUAUGUCUUCAUAAUCGUAUGUAGAUUAGCCAACAUUAGAAAACACUGACAGUAAAUAGCUGAAUCUUGCAUGCCUUAUAAUUCAUUUUUCAUAUUCUGCUAACUUCAUGCUUGAAUAUUUUCCUUAUGCUUUUGGUUUAAAGUUCUUAACAUAGGGGAUUCAUCGCAUACAAGUAUGAAAUUUCUAAAACAGAAACAUUUUCUUAAUAUUUAAAUGACAACAUUUUAUAACACAGAGACAUGGAAAUAUCACUUGAUUAGAGAAAUGAGAAAAUGAAUAAUAAGUGUGCAACAUGUCUCACCAUACUUAAGUAAGACAUUUGAGUUUAAAAAGUAACUAGGGUCAUAAAAAGGAAAAAAAGCGAGAAUGAUAACAAGAUCAAUCUCUUCCUUUAAUCAUAACGUGUAUGCCUCUACGUUUGGUAUCACAUAAGUCGAAAGGCAUUCAUCACAGGUUUCUCUAAUUGAUAUAUCUACUGGACAAUAGUAUUGCAUGAUGCAGUUUUUUCCUUAUUUCAACAUCACAUUGAUAAGUCAAUAAAUAAAGCCAACCAAGUCUAGUCCAUUAGUUUCUGUUCUUCUAUAGGCACAUCCAAUCCUAGCAUCUUAUCGCUUGUAUUCAUUUCAAAUUCAGUAAUUAUCCCUCUGCAAAUCUUUUAAAUACAUGUUAACCAUGUGUUAGAAUCUAAUGUAUCUUGGUGAGUUGACACACGUUUGACUUCACACUGAAUUAGCGCUGUGAAUGCUUUUCGCAGGCCAAAUAUAGUAGCCCAUUCCUUCCCCAAUAAAAACACUGCAGAUGAAGCACUAAUAUACAAAGAAAACUCACCAGAGGAUCCCCUCCUUUUAGCCUCACCACAUUGGCGCCAGCCUCAGCGAAGCUCAGAAGCAACUCAUGAAUCUCUUCCUAAAUAUAAUAAAUCAGGAAAGAAAAAAAAACACAAAUUUGAGAACAAUGCACUAUGAAGCCCCGAGAAAAAUCUCAGCCAAAACGGAGGAAAAUAAAAAAUAUCGAUCUUUUGCGACCUCACCGACCUGAGUCCGGCUAUGAUAUCCGGCCGUCUUCCCGACAUAGAGCAUCUUGGCAUCUGCCCUGACGAAACAGAGCACAUCAUUGGACACCAGACGAUCAUAGAGGACGAGAUCGGCCUGCUCGAUCGCCCGCACCGCCUUCAGCGUCAGCAGCUCCGGGUCACCCGGCCCGGUCCCCACCAGCGACACACUCCCCGGCCCGCUGCGGCCGCCGCCGCCUGCCUCCGCCCUCCGGGCGGCCCUCAGCGCCUCCAGCAACCGCUUGAGCUCUGGCAAUUGCAGCGCGAUCUCGUUCUCCCUGUCGCUGAAGUUUUGGUGGGCGGAAACCGGCAGCGGGACGCCGGAUCCGUAAACCCAGCCAUCUCUUCGGUAUCUCUCGGCGGAGUCUUUCUCCGUGAAGGGAGAUGACGGAGAGGCCGCGGCGGAGCAAGAGACGGCGCGUUGUGAUUGACGGCAGGGGAAGAAAGGGGAUACCGGCGAAGGUUUGGAGGAGGGGAGAGAUGGGGAAGAGGAGGAGGAGAAGUGGGAGAGGUUUCUAGCGCGCGAGCAAGAAGACGAGGCGGCGGCUAAGGCCAUGGUGGGAGGGAGUUGAAAUGAGCUCAAAUGGAAGUGAUGGGGGAUUUUGGGGCCGCGACGGCGGCAGAGUGGGUUAGAACGUAGUGGAGUUGUUCUCCAUUUAAAAGAAGGGAAAUGCGUGGAAUAUAUAAUAGGGAAAAGAGGUAGGACGGAUUUGAAGUCAAAUGAAACUUUGUAAGCUUUGGCGAGGCGUUUUUUGGCUGCUGCGUUUUGGCGACGCCGAAGGGGCGAUGGUGGAAGGGAAUGUAGCUCUUGCCUCUUCGUGGUGAGGGAGGACCAGGUUCAGUGAACCUAAUCGUAUUUUUAUACGGUAAGAAAGUCUGUUGUAUUUUUUAAAAAAAAUAAAUUAUUCAUACACUUCUAAUACAAAUGUUUUCAGUAAAAUCAAAACACAGCAUAUUUCGAAACGCACUAGACAGCUUCAGCUCUCCAAUCCAAAGUGUAUCUUCGGAAUAGUUAGUCAGAAAACAUCAAAUCUGCAGCUUCAUUGACCUCUAUGUAGGCAUGCUUAAUCUGAAAGGCCAUCCAAAAAAGAUGUCUUUCAAGUGAUAUUUUUUGUUUCAUUUCAUUUUAAGCAAAUUAGCAUCGUUCACGUAACACACGUGGUAGUGUUUUUAAUUUUGUUUUCUUUCCCUUUGCAGAUCUAGGUAACUAAUUAAAGCUUUUAACUGAAGACAUUAUCUUAACCACGCAACAUUUUCCUCUUCCUUUCCUGAGGCCACAUGAGACAAGGAAACCAAAGUCUUUAAGCAACUUGGUCGAUCCCCUAUACAUAGAGAAUAUUGGUACUUGCGGCACCAGAUUAACCUAACGUAAACAUGAGGACUCUCUGCCGGUCUUGAGUUAACAAAUAAGGAGUGUAGUGACCAGGAUCCAAUUGUAAAUCUAUGAGGGUCCAAGUGCGAACGGCCAAAAAUAUGAUCUAGACUCACAAGGAUCCCACGAUGGAGGAUGAAGAGAUCCUUGAAUACUAUUCAUCAUACUGAUGGUUCAUGAAGGGGCUAUGAUGUUAAUUAUGGUCAUUCUGCAAGAUGGAUUUUGCAUUUCUGAUCAGUUAGAUUAAUUAUCUUCAUCCAAUGGUGAAUCAAACACAUUAAGAAAAUAGUGAAUCAAUGGGCACCAAAGUCCGACAAUUUAAUUUAUUGCAGGCUUAAUGUUGGUCCCCACUGUUAGAUCUUACAAAUAUAGCAAUAGCGCAUGAAGUUGGCGAUCGUCAAUGAGAUUUGCUCAAGAGUGUUGAUGCAACUAGCGUACCAGCUGGGGCUAAAUAUGUCUCUUUCAUCGAAUUAAACAUAUUCUUUCAGAAUACUUUCCUGGUUAUUUUAGAGAAUUCUUAAGAAAUAAAAAGGUUGCACAAAGUAAAAGGUUCAUAGAUCCAUAUAUUUUUAGGAAGGAAGAUGCAGUAGGUCCCUCGGUGAAGUUAACUCUGGAAGAUGAUGAGGGUCGGAUGGGGCAGAGGAGGCUCCGUGAGGCGGAUGCUGAGCUUCAGAGAAAUGUCCAUUGUUUUAAAACGCUUCAGAAACCGACAUAGCUUAUAAAAAGGUGUUACACAAGCCUCAAGGCGCAUCACAUUUUUGUGAUCCAUAAGCUGAUAGUUUUACAUGGGAACAAAUUUUAGUGGUGUGAUAGUUUAUAUUUGUUGCCCAAGGCCUUGAGUUUCGAGUUUGAGUCAUGCAUAGGUAGAGCCUGAUUCUAGACCCGCUUAAUUUGUAAGCAUCUCAAACUGUUCAAAAUAGGAUUGUGUUCAGCUUGGCUAGAUCAAGUGAGAUGCAAAGGAGAAGAAUUCAAUCCUAAUGUUCGAAACCUACUAUUUUAUCGAAAUUAACCUAGCCAAUGAUUUCUUCUGGGAUUCUGGCCAUCUUGUCAAGCAAAAGAAAUCAGUUAAAGGAUCAGCACAUUGGGUUCCAUCUUGAAUUCCCUGCUCUUAAGGCCAAUCUAUCCUAAACUUGCUGCAGACUGAAUUCGAUCUUUUAGAAGGAAAAAAUGCAGCAAGCAGCGCAUAUCAGUCUCGCUUGGACCCAUCCUAGUUCUCAACAAAUAGAAAGAAGAAAAAACAAAAACAAAACAAGUGGAAAGCAGGAAAAAGCAAACACGCGGGGAAAGGUGUUAAACCACCAAGGUGACAAAACAUAGCAUGGAGGCCUUUAGGUUAACUGAAUGCUUAAUGCAAAUAAAGCAAUGGCAUACAAUGCGACAUUCUGAAUGGCUCUUGUAAAUGUCAAACGAGGCAGGGAAGAAAUACAAAAUGUAAGUUGCAACUAAAUAUUCUGAUUCGGCUUUCUUUAUUGCAUAAAAUCCAAAGUCCUGGCCGAAUGAAACCAGCCAGUCAAGGAUGCAGGACUAAAUGUUUUAAGAUUCAUGUCUAAGUUGAAUCUGAAAACAAAGAUCUGAUAUCUUUAUUGGAUACAGGCACCAGCAUGCGGCAUGAUUAAAGUAGAAGUACACAAUCAAGUCUCAUCAAAAAGAAGUGAAUGGCCAGACCUGUGUAUAACUGUUUUGCUGGAUGAAAUAACUCUAAAAAGAAGGUGAUGCACUUUUAUCAUCCAAGCCAGCAUAAAGAAAAUGGUUGAACCAGCAAAAGAAUUCUUGGAAACACCCAUACAAUAUUUUAUCUGGAGAAUAUUAACUCGCAUGCUUCAAUAAUUUAGGGGCAAUAGAAGGUUCGCUGUACCGGUCGGUACCGGUCGGUACCGAGCGUACCGUACCCGUACCGAUGGGUACCGGUAUCGGUACACCAAUGUCGGUACGGUCGGUACCGAGCGUACGGUACCGUACCGACACUCGGUACGCCUAUACUAGUGCGGCACCGGUACGGGGUUCGGUACCGGUACGGCGAACCUUGGGCAAUACCAAGUUUAAGCAGAAUGUUUGAAAUUUCCAAGUUGGAAGGCGUUCAAAAGAAAUCUACUAACUGUAACAGAAAUGUUACUUAUCACCAUCUUCCUCCUUCUUUUGCCCAUAGCGGCGGUUGAACUUUGCAAUCUGACCUAGGCUCUGCGCCAUCUGACGCCUUGCUCUAAAAUGAUAGACUUUGCCAACAUGAUGUAUCUUGGUCAUCAAAACAUGCAUCAAUCUCCCACUCGGAGUCACAUAGGAAAUCCACUGCAUCUGGGGGUCCNNNNNNNNNNNNNNNNNNNNNNNNNNNNNNNNNNNNNNNNNNNNNNNNNNNNNNNNNNNNNNNNNNNNNNNNNNNNNNNNNNNNNNNNNNNNNGAAAUUGAGUUUUCUCAUGACAGAAAGAUUAAUCAACAGAUACAAAUCCUUUUGACCUAACUACAGACCAUCUAACUGAUUUGCAACUCGGGCAACUUCAUUGUAUUUAAGUUGGUAGAUACAGAAAGUGAAAAUUACAGCAAACAUCAAAAUUGCCUAUAUGCAAAUGCAAUAAGGCUGAAGAAGGAAAAUUAUGAUUAAACCGUUUCUCAGAGGGGAUGUACCAUUGCUAUACAUUCUUAAAAUAGAAAAGAAACAUAGAUGAAGAUUAAAUUUUGAAGGCAUAACUAAGUGUUUUAAAAAUAUAUAAAGUAAUGCAUCAUUUUCAUAAUUAUUGUUUUAUGAGUUCACUUCACUUUGGAAACCAACUAGAGCACUAUACACCGCCAAGAUUUCUUUCCCAAUACUCGAAGUCGUCCCCAAAUGCUGGAGAGGCUUACAUUGUAUAAGCAAUAGGGGUGGUAAAAUAUGAUCCAACCCGCCAUAAACAGAUUUGGGUUUGGCUUAAACAGGUUCGGGUCGUAAACAGGUUGAUCCGUUUAACCUGUUUAUUAAUUGGGUCGGAUACAGAUUUUAAAUUUCUGACCCGUUUAAUCUGUAUAACCUGUUUAAUUGUUGGGCUAAUAUAUAAGGGCCAGCCAUACUCCCUGCCUCGGCCCGCUUUCACCGCCUCGGCCCAACUCCCCGCUUCGGCCCGCUUUCACCGCGAGGUCCACCGUCCGGUUUCACAGUUUCACCGCGAGGUUGAUUGGACGUAAAAGGCGUCGCUUAGGGUUUGUGUCUUUGUGAGCGCCGCCCGAGCUCCAUUCCCUCAGUCCCUCUCCCCUCUCCUAGUCUUCCUCUCCUCCGGACCUCCGCCCUCUCCUCCCCCUUGCCGACUCCUUCCGCCUCCCCGUCGACGGCGACCGCAGCGGCUCGACGGGUUCCUAGGACGUUGCUUCCGCCUUCUUGGGGCUUUUCGUCGUCUCGCGACUUGCCGGCGGACGGUGACUGCUUUGUCUUCUCCACGGCGACGGCCUCCGUCUCCUGCCCUAUCCGUGCGUUCUCUCCCCUUCUCCGCUAGUAGUAUAGUCAUGCUAUCUCUGAUUUCCUUCCGCCAUCUCUUUCUGUCUCUGUUUCUUGAUCUUAGGGAUCUUGGAUCUCAAAGCGGCGGAGGACGUGAGGGCGCUCUUUCUCUUCUUCAAAGCGGCGACUACUGUGGAGUCCAGCAGCGCUGCAGCAGGUAUGCCGGUGGAGGGAAAUGGUUUGGUUUUUACUUUUUAUGGUUUGAUUCAUGGCGAAGGCUAGGGCUUCCAGAUUUUUUCCCCCACCCGAAUCGAAGCCGUCGAUGAUUUCCGGAGAGAAAAAAAUUUGGGGAUGGCGCCUAGAAUCCUAGAUCAGAGAUUUUGAGGGCUCCCGUUUCCAUUUUCUUUUAUUUUUUCCAAUAAAAAAAUUGUAAUCUGUUAAUUUCUCUCCUCCCCUUGUUCCUCUCCGUGUUUUCUUUUUA